AACGAUACAAAGUAUGGCAGUACUCCCGAACAAUCUGCACCAGUACUGGGGACAUCAGGGUUAUCUCGCCACUACUAGUAUUGAAGCAAUUACGUACAUCCUUCGUUCUGAGAUAUUAAGAAAUCUGAAUGAUAACGAUGUGCUCGAGAAUCCCCUGGAGCUCAACUCCCCUGAAACUCAAAGCAGAUAGGAGGCACCAAGACAGAACUCCGUCACAUCGGCAUCAUAUAGAUUCCAAAAAUAUCCGCGUGAUCCUAAAAAAAAUUGAGUGAGAAGAGGAGUAGAAUAACUUAUUACGUCAAGAUUCCUCACCACAGCAUAGAAGAGGAGAAAAAAGAAUCCUACUCUCCGAUAUAUAACUAGACUCAAAGCAGUUUUUCACUAGACUCGACUCGGCCAAGUUUGAUCAAUCAAGGGGGCUCCUAGGUGGGUACUGCUCUGAUACCAACUUGUCAUGCCCAAGAUGCGACCCUAUCCUCAAUUUGGCACGAAGGCCUCGUCAGGGAUAGAAGCGCNNNNNNNNNNNNNNNNNNNNNNNNNNNNNNNNNNNNNNNNNNNNNNNNNNNNNNNNNNNNNNNNNNNNNNNNNNNNNNNNNNNNNNNNNNNNNNNNNNNNNNNNNNNNNNNNNNNNNNNNNNNNNNNNNNNNNNNNNNNNNNNNNNNNNNNNNNNNNNNNNNNNNNNNNNNGUAUAUAUAUAAUUGGCUUACACUCGCCACAAGCUGCAUCACAGUCACAGCAGUACAAUACAUAAUCAUCACGAAUAAGAGCAGGGUCUGACUACGGACGAAAACAAACGAGAAAAGAAGAACGGCGUCCAUCCUUGCUAUCCCAGGCUGCCGGCCUGGAACACAUCCUAGAUCGAAGAAGAAGAAGAAGAAGAAGAAGAAGCAACUCCAAAUGAACAAUCAACGUGCUCGCGUCAAGUAACCUGUACCUGUACCUGCAACUGGUGUUGUAGUAAUCUGUGAGCCACAGGUGACUCAGCAAUCUCAUUUCCAAAGGUAUCAAGACUAGCAAAGCUUAUUAGGUGAGGCAUGGUUAAGUGGUGAGGUUGUGGUAGCGGCUAAGCAUAUAUAUAUGGUGGCUAACUUACGAGUACAAGAAAUAAGAGAGGGAAGAUCUAAGCAUAACGGACGUGAACUACUGAUGAUCAAAUGAAUGAUCCUGAACACCUACCUACGGUAGACAUAACCCCACCGUGUCCUCGAUCGGAGAAGGAACUCACGAAAGAGACAGUCACGGUUACGCACAUAGUUGGCAAGUUUUAAUUAAGUUAACUUCAAGUUAUCUAGAACCAGUGUUAAACAAAGUUUCCACGUUGCCACAUAACCGCAGGCACGGCUUUCCGAAAGAUUUAACCCUGCAGGGGUGCUCCAACUAGUNNNNNNNNNNNNNNNNNNNNNNNNNNNNNNNNNNNNNNNNNNNNNNNNNNNNNNNNNNNNNNNNNNNNNNNNNNNNNNNNNNNNNNNNNNNNNNNNNNNNGGGGGGGGGGGGUCGGACCCUUCGAUCACGAUCGGACGACUCCGAUCGCGGGGUUAGGCUAGGUGCAUUGGGUGGGCUAUAUUGGUGGUGUUGGGUUGAUAUGAUUGAGAGGUCUGCGGUCCAGCAGCGGAAUUUUUAAAAAUGAAUCGUCUGCGAUUUAAAUCAGCUAUAGUGCCGCUAUACGUUUAACGAUUCGGUGUCAAACGACCUCCGAAUGCGAGGGAAUUUGGGAGGUGGUCUACCUACACUAUAUGAAAACCGCGCGCCAACUUUCAACCCAUUCAUAGAAAUUUUUAUACACACUUUUAAAAACAAUAUUUUUUCGAUGCACGGGUGCGUGUGUGUGUUGUUGGUCACGGAACGGUCAACGACAAGAAUGGAGAGAGCCGGCAACUACAGACGGAUGCAAGUUUUGAAAAAAUGAUAUCGAUGGAGUGCUGAGGCUUUGUAGAUGAUUCGAAUGAUGCGAUGAUGANNNNNNNNNNNNNNNNNNNNNNNNNNNNNNNNNNNNNNNNNNNNNNNNNNNNNNNNNNNNNNNNNNNNNNNNNNNNNNNNNNNNNNNNNNNNNNNNNNNNNNNNNNNNNNNNNNNNNNNNNNNNNNNNNGAAUGAUGCGAUGAUGAAUGCGACAACCAAAUGGAACACACGGAGAAACUCCAAAUAACCAGAAGACAUCUGGAGCGGCGGUCUGAGGGUGUUACACAGGAGCCACGAGGUGGCCCCUAGCCAUUAGGGCAUGCCUAGGGGGGUGGGCACACCCUGUUGGCUUCGGAGCAAUAGGUGGCCCCCGUGUGAUGGGUCUUGGCUCCAUUUGAUAUUUCAGAAAAAAUUCACAAAUUUUUUUGUUCGAUUUUGAUAAUUUUUAUUUAUGCACAAAAACAACACCUUGGCAGUUCUGCUUAAAACAGGGUUAGUCCUGGUUAGUUUCAUUCAAAUCAUGCAAAUUAGAGUCCAAAACAAGAGCAAAAGUGUAUGGAAAAUUAGACAUGUUUGGGAUGUACCAACUCCCCCAAGCUUAACUCAUUGCUUGUCCUCAGGCAAUUCAGUUCAUAAACUGAAAGUGAUAAAGAAAACUUCUACAAACUUCUUUGUUCUUGUUUCCAUAUAUAUGCUUAACUAGUGUUCAGGUCUUCGGCAUAAAUCAUAAAUAACCAUAUCCAUGAUAACAAUUAAACAUCAUAUUCACUAAUGACAAUAAAUAGCCAACUAGCAAGAAUAAUAAAAUAUCUCACAUGCCAACAAUUUGUCAAAACAAUCAUGAUAUAAUAUGAUGAUAUGAUAUCUCGCCAGUCCUUUCCGAGACCACAAAANNNNNNNNNNNNNNNNNNNNNNNNNNNNNNNNNNNNNNNNNNNNNNNNNNNNNNNNNNNNNNNNNNNNNNNNNNNNNNNNNNNNNNNNNNNNNNNNNNNNGACUCUUUUCUGGCGCCAUUGGCGGGGAGUGAAGCAUCUUUGGUAAGGGAAAAUUUAUAUUACAUGCUGAAAUUUACUACUACUUGUCACUGUGGAAAGUAAUCCUUUCAGGGGUUUGUUCGGGAUAUUUUCACCUCGACCGGAAACACCAAGAGUUGUCCCUCAACCUGCUNNNNNNNNNNNNNNNNNNNNNNNNNNNNNNNNNNNNNNNNNNNNNNNNNNNNNNNNNNNNNNNNNNNNNNNNNNNNNNNNNNNNNNNNNNNNNNNNNNNNNNNNNNNNNNNNNNNNNNNNNNNNNNNNNNNNNNNNNNNNNNNNNNNNNNNNNNNNNNNNNNNNNNNNNNNNNNNNNNNNNNNNNNNNNNNNNNNNNNNNNNNNNNNNNNNNNNNNNNNNNNNNNNNNNNNNNNNNNNNNNNNNNNNNNNNNNNNNNNNNNNNNNNNNNNNNNNNNNNNNNNNNNNNNNNNNNNNNNNNNNNNNNNNNNNNNNNNNNNNNNNNNNNNNNNNNNNNNGGGGGGGGGGGAAUCAUUUACAUGGUAUAUGCUAUGUGAUGAUACAUGAUCUUGGAAUUGAAAUCGAUUGCAAUUGGAGUUUUGCAAAAAAUAUUAUCCUAUGCAUCUUGUUCAUCGUGAUCGGAAUUUUAUCUAUAAUUUCUGGCCUCAUGAAGGAUAAAAUAUCGCUCUAGCUUUGGGGAGGCUGAAGUCUAUGUUAUAUUCAUGCCCNNNNNNNNNNNNNNNNNNNNNNNNNNNNNNNNNNNNNNNNNNNNNNNNNNNNNNNNNNNNNNNNNNNNNNNNNNNNNNNNNNNNNNNNNNNNNNNNNNNNNNNNNNNNNNNNNNNNNNNNNNNNNNNNNNNNNNNNNNNNNNNNNNNNNNNNAUGUUAUAUUCAUGCCCCAACCAUGAGCUCUUGAGAGAAAUUAUCGUUCAUAAUUUUUAUGCUCCGUUUUCUCGUAAUGAUCAAACCAUGCUCGAUACUUCUUGCUCUGGUUCAUUUAUCAAGAAGACUAUUGAAUUUAGGUGGGAUCUCAUAGAAAGAAUUAAAGGCAACUCUGAAGAUAGGGAGCUCGAUUAAGGUAAAUUUUCAGGUAUAAAACCAAAGUUUGAUUGUGCUAAAUCUUUUAUGAAUACUGAUGCUUUCAAUGAUUUUUGCACUAAGUAUGGACUUGACUCUGAGAUAUUAGCCUCAUUCUGUGAAACCUUGGUUGGAGAACGUCGCAUGGGAAACAAAAAAUUCCCUACGAACACGAAGACCUAUCAUGGUGAUGAUCAUCUAUGAGAGGGAUAUCGUAUCCACAUACCCUUGUAGAUCGCUAAGCGGAAGCGUUAAUAAACGCAGUUGAUGUAGCGGUACGUCUUCACAAUCCGUCCCACGAACCGUCUCACGAUCCGUCCCACGAACCGUCUCACGAUCCGUCCCGAUCAAGUGCUGAACGGACGACACCUCUGUGUUCCGCACACGUACAACUCGAUGAUGAUUUCUGUCUUAGUGGGAACUUAUUACAGCCCACUAAGGGCUGGUUUAUCUCUUCCCACAACCCAUAAGGCCCCUUGGGGCGUGACACCCCUCUCGAUGGUCCCCGGCACCCCUCCCGGCACUCCCAGUACACUACCGAUGAGCCCAAAACUUUUCUGAUGACCAAAACAGGACUUCCUAUAUACCAUUCUUCAUUUCCAGACCAUUUCGGAAACCCUCAUGAUGUCCAGGAUAUCAUCUGGGACUCCGAACAACCUUCGGUCACCAACACAUAUAACUCAACUAUACCGAAACAUCACCGAACCUUAAGUCUGCAGACCAUGCGGGUUCGAGAACUAUACAGACAUGACCUGAGACACCCCCCGGUCAAUAAACAACAACAGGACCUGGAUGUCCAUAUUGGCUCCUACAUAUUCUACGAAGAUCUCUAUCGGUUGAACCUCUAUGUCAAGGAUUCAUAUAGUCCCGUAUAGUAUUCCCUUUGUCCUUCGGUAUGUUACUUGCCCGAGAUUCGAUCGUCGGUAUCUCCAUACCUAGUUCAAUCUUGUUACCAGCAAGUCUCUUUACUCGUUCCGUAAUAGAACAUCCCUUGACUAACUCCUUAGUCACAGAGCUUGCAAGGCUUGUUGUGAUGCUGUAUUACCGAGUGGGCCCCGAGAUACCUCUCCGUCACACGGAGUGACAAAUCCCAGUCUUGAUCCAUGCCAACCCAACAAAAACCUUUGGAGAUACCUGUAGACCACCUUUAUAGUCACCCAGUUACGUUACGAUGUUUGAUACACACAANNNNNNNNNNNNNNNNNNNNNNNNNNNNNNNNNNNNNNNNNNNNNNNNNNNNNNNNNNNNNNNNNNNNNNNNNNNNNNNNNNNNNNNNNNNNNNNNNNNNNNNNNNNNNNNNNNNNNNNNNNNNNNNNNNNNNNNNNNNNNNNNNNNNNNNNNNNNNNNNNNNNNNNNNAUGAUCUCAUGGUCAUAGGAACACAUAUACUGACAUGCAUAAAAACAGUAGCAAUAAACUGACACGAUCAUACGCUACGUUUAUAGUUUGGGUCUUGUCCAUCACAUCAUUCUUCCAAUGAUGCGAUCCUGUUAUCAAGUGACAACACUUGCCUAUGGCCAGGAAACCUUGAUCAUCUUUGAUCAACGAGAGAGUCAACUAGAGGCUCACUAGGGACAAUGUGUUGUCUAUGUAUCCACACAUGCAUUUGAGUUUCCAAUCAAUACAAUUCUAGCAUGAAUAAUACACGAUUAUUAUGAACAAGGAAAUAUAAUAAUAACCAUUUUAUUAUUGCCUCUAGGGCAUAUUUCCAACAGUCUCCCACUUGCACUAGAGUCAAUAAUCUAGUUCACAUCUCUAUGUGAUUGUAAUGAAUUUAACACCCAUACAGUUAUGGGGUUUGAUCAUAUCUUGCUUGUGGCAGAUGUUUUUAGUCAACGGGUCUGAACCUUUCAAAUGUGAGUGUGCUUUACAAACCUCUAUGUCAUCCUAUAGGUGCUGCUACCAAUGUGCCAUUUUGGAACUAUUCCAAAUUACUGCUCCACUAUACGAAUCCGAUUUACUCCUUAGAGUUACUCGGAUUAGUGUCAAAGCUUGGAUCGACGUAACCCUUUAGGAUGAACUCUUUAAUCACCUCCAUAAUCGAGAAAAAUUCCUUAGUCCAUUAGUUACUAAGGAUAACUUUGACCGUUGUUCAGUGAUUCAAUCCUGGAUCACUCUUUGUACCCCUUAAUAGACUUAUGGCAAGGCACACAUCAGGUGCGGUACACAACAUGGCAUACUUUAGAGCCUAGGGCUAAGGUAUAGGGAUGACCUUCAUCCUUUCUCUUUCUUCUGCCGUAAUCGGGCUUUGAGUCUUACUCAAAUUCACACCUUACAACACAGCCAAGAACUCCUUCUUUGCUGAUCUAUUUUGAACUCCUUCAAAAACUUGUCAAGGCAUGCAUUUCAUUGAAAGUUCUAUUUACCGUUUUGAUCUAUCUCUAUAGAUCUUGAUGCUCAAUGUUCAAGUAGCUCUAUCCAGGUUUUCCUUUGAAAAACUCCUUUCAAACAACCCUUUAUGCUUUCCAGAAAUUCUACAUUACUUCCAAUCAAGAAUAUGUCAACCACAUAUACUUAUCAGAAAUUCUAUAGUGCUCCCACUCACUUCUUUGGAAAUACAAGUUUCUCAUAAACCUCGUAUAAACCCAAAAGCUUUGAUCAUCUCAUCAAAGCAUAUAUUCCAACUCCGAGAUGCUUGCACGAGUCCAUAGAAGGAUGCUAGAGCUUGCAUACUUGUUAGCAUCCUUAGGAUCGACAAAACCUUCUGGUUGUAUCACAUACAACCUUUCCUCAAGGAAAGUCUCAUCAUAGUCAACUCUUUGAACUUGUUGGGAACAUAUUUGCCAUAAGUCGAGCUUUUCUUAAUGGUGACUUUUCACCAUCAUCAUCUUUCUUCCUUUUAAAGAUCCAUAUAUACUUGAUAGUCUUACGACCAUCAAGUAGUUCUUCCAAAGUCUAUACAUUGUUUUAUACAGGGAUCCUCUCUCGGAUUUCAUGCCCUCCAGCCAUUUGCCGGAAUCCGGGCCCACCAUCGCUUCUUCAUAGCUCGUAGGUUCAUUGUUGUUCAACAACAUGAUCUCCAAGACAGGGUUACCAUACUACUCUAUAGCAGUACGCAACCUUGUCGACCUACGGGGUUUGUAGUAACUUGAUCUGAAGCUUAAUGAUCACCAUCAUCAGUUUCCACUUCAAUUGACGUAGGCGCCACAGAACAACUUCCUGCGCCCUUCUACACACUGGUUGAAGUGAUGGUUCAAUAACCUCAUCAAGUUCCACCACCCUCCCACUCAAUUCUUUCGAGAGAAACCUUUCCUCGAGAAAGGACCCGUUUCUAGAAACAAACACUUUGCUUCCGGAUCCGAGAAAGGAGACGUACCCAACUGUUUUGGAUAUCCUAUGAAGAUGCAUUUAUCUGCUUUGGGUUCGAGCUUAUCAGACUGAAACUCUUUCACAUAAGCGUCAUAGCCCCAAACUUUCAAGAAACGACAGCUUAGGUUUCUCCAAACCAUAGUUCAUACGGUGCCAUCUCAAUGGAAUUACGUGGUGCUCUAUUUGAAGUGAAUGCGGUUGUCUCUAAUGCCUAACCCAAAACGAUAGUGGUAUUUCGAUAAGAGACAUCAUAGUAUAUAUGCGCUAUAUCCAAUAGGGCAUGGCUAUGACGUUCGGACACACCAUCACACUAUGGUGUUCUAGGUGACAUGAAUUGCGAAACAAUUUCCACAUUGUCUUAACUGUGUACCAAAACUCGCAACUCAGAUAUUCAUCUCUAUGAUCAUAUCAUAGACAGUUUAUCCUCUUGUCACGACGAUCUUCACUCUGACAUAGCUUUGAACUUUUCAAUAUUUCAGACUUGUGAUUCAUCAAGUAAAUACUCCUCUAUAUACUCAAAUCGUCAGUGAAGUAAGAACAUAACGAUAUCCACUGCGUGCCUCAACAUUCAUUGGACUACACACAUCAAAAAUGUAUUACUCCAACAAGUUACUUUCUUGUUCCAUCUCACUCGAAAAAAGAGGCCUUUAGUCAUCUUGCCCAUGUGGUAUGAUUUGCAUGUCACAAGUGAUUCAAAAUCAAGUGAGUCCAAACGAUCUAUCUGCAUGGAGUUUCUUCAUGCGUUUAUACCAAUAGGUAUGGCUUGCAUGUCUCAAACGUUUCAAAAGUGAGUGAGUACAAAGAUCUAUCAGCAUGGUGCUUCUUCAUGCAUUUUAUUCCAACAUGACUCAAGUGGCAGUGCCACAAGUAAGUGGUACUAUCAUUACUACUUUGUAUCUUUUGGCAUCAAUAUUAUGAACAUGUGUAGCACUACGACCGAGAUUCAAUAAACCAUUGAAGGUAAUUAUUCAAGCAAAUAGAAUAACCAUUAUUCUCUUUAAAUGAAUAAUCGUAUUGCAAUAAACACGAUCCAAUCAUGUUCACGCUCAACACAAACAACAAAUAACAAUUAUUUAGGUUUAACACCAAUCCCGAUGGUAGAGGGAGCGUGCGAUGUUUGAUCACAUCAACCUUAGAAUUACUUCCAACACACAUCGUCACCUCACCCUUGCUAGUAUCCUUUUAAUCCGUAGCUAUAACUUCGAGUUACUAACACUUAGCAACUGAACCGGUAUGUAAUACCCUGGUGCUACUAGGAAUACCAGUAAGGUACACAUCAAUAUCAGGUAUAUCCAAUAUACUUUUGUCGACUUUGCCAGCCUUCUCAUCUACCGAGUAUCUAGGGUAGUUCCGCCUCAGUGACCGUUUCCCUCAUAACAUAAGCACUUAGUCUCGGGUUUGGGUUCAACCCUGGGUCUCUUCACUAGAGCAGCAACUGUUUUGCCGUUUCAUAAAGUAUCCCUUCUUACCCUUGCCCUUUCUUGAAACUACUGGUUUUCCUAACCAUCAACAAUUGAUGCUCCUACUUGAUUUCUACUUUCGCGGUGUCAAAUAUUGCGAAUAGCUCAAGGAUCAUCAUAUGUAUCCUUGAUAUGUUAUACUUCAUCACGAAGCUCUAGUAGCUUGGUGGCAGUGACUUUGGAGAACCAUCACUAUCUCAUCUGAAAGAUCAACUCCCAAUCGAUUCAAGCGAUUGUAGCACUCAGACAAUCUGAGCACAUGCUCAACGAUUGAGCUUUUCUCCCUUACUUUGUAGACAAAGAAUCUUGUCGGAGGUCUCAUACCUCUUAACAAGGAUACGAGCAUGAAAUCCCAAUUUCAUCUCUUGGAACAUCUCAUAUGUUCUUGGACGUUUUCAAAACGUCUUCGGCGCCCCAAUUCUAAGUUGUUAAGAAUUACGAACUGAACUAUCACGUAGUCAUCAAAAACGUGUAUGUCAGAUGUUCGCAACAUCCACAGACGAAGCUCGAGGUUCAGCACACUGAGCAGUGCAUUAAUGACACAAGCCUUCUGCGCAACAAUGAGGACAAUCCUCAGUUCACGGACUAAGUCCGCAAAAUUGCUACUUAUCAUCUUUCAACUAAAUUUUCUCUAGGAACAUAUAAAAACAGUAGAGCUACAACGCAAGCUACAACAUAAUUUGCAAAGACCUUUUUGACUAUGUUCAUGAUAGUUGAGUUUAGCUAGUCAUAUUACUAAUAACUCCCAUUCAAAAUAGACAUCCCUCUAGUCAUUUGAGUGGCGCAUGAUCCAAAUCCACUAACUCAAGUCCGAUCAUCACGUGAGUUGAGUAUAGUUUCAGUAGUUAACAUCUCCAUGUUGAUCAUAUCAACUAUAUGAUUCAUACUCGACCUUUCGGUCUCUUGUGUUCCGAGGCGAUGUCUGUACACGCUAAGCUCGUCAAGUUUAACCUGAGUGUUCCGCGUGUGCAACUAUUUUGCACCCGUUGUAUGUGAACGUUGAGUCUAUCACACCCGAUCAUCACGUGGUGUCUCAAAACGACGAACUGUCGCAAUGGUGCACAGUCGGGGAGAACACAAUUUUAUCUUGAAAUUUUAGUGAGGGAUCACCUUAUAAUGCUACUGUCAUUCUAAGAAAAAUAAGGUGCAUGAAAAGGAUUAACAUCACAUGCAAUUCAUAAGUGGCAUGAUAUGGCAAUGAUCUUGUGCGUCUUGAUCUCCAUCACCAAAGCACCGGCAUGAUCUUCAUCGUCACCGACGCCACACCAUGAUAUCCAUCAUCGUGCCGCCAUCGAGGUUGUCGUGCUAUCUAUGCUAUUACUACUAAAGCUACAACCUAGUAAUAUAGUAAACGCAUCUGCAAGCACAAACGUUAGUUUAAAGACAACCCUAUGGCUCCUGCCGGUUGCCGUAGCAUCGACGUGCAAGUCGAUAUUUAACUAUUACAACAUGAUCAUCUCAUACAUCCAAUAUAUCAUAUUAUGUCUUUAGACAUACCACAUCACAUGCACACCGUGCAAAAACAAGUCAGACGUCCUCUAAUUUGUUGUUGCAUGUUUUACAUGGCUGCUAUGGGUAUCUAGUAUGAUCGCAUCUUACUUACGCAAAGCCACAACGGUGAUAUGCAAUUUUCUUUUUAACCUUCUCCAAGGACCGCCUCGGUCAAAUCCGAUUCAACUAAUGUUGAAGAAAUAGACACCCGCCAGUCAUCUUUAUGCAACAAGUUGCAUGUUAGUCGAUGAAACCGGUCUCUCGUAAGCGUACGAGUAAGGUUCGUCCGGGCCACUUAAAUCCAACAAUACCUCCGAAUUGAGAAAAUACUAAGGAGAGCAGCAAAAAGAACAUCAACACCCACAAACUUUUUUGUGUUCUACUCGAGAUAUCAUCUACGCAUGAACCUAGCUCAUGAUGCCACUGUUGGGGAACAUCGCAUGGGAAAUAAAAAAAUUCCUAUGCACACGAAGACCUAUCAUGGUGAUGAUCAUCUACGAGAGGGAGAUCGGAUCCACAUACCCUUGUAGAUCGCUAAGGGGAAGCGUUAAUAAUGUGGUUGAUGUAGUGGUACGUCUUCACGAUCCGUCCCACGAACCGUCCCACGAUCCGUCCCACGAACCGUCCCACGAUUCGUCCCACGAACCGUCUCACGAUCCGUCCCGAUCAAGUGCCGAAUGGACGGCACCUCUGCGUUCCGCACACGUACAUCUAGAUGACGAUCUGUGCAUUCUUCAUCUAGAAAGAGGGGGCGGAGAGGUAGAUGAGUUCUCCAGCACAGCGGUGUGGUUGUUGCGGUGGUGCUAUUCUAGUAGGGCUUCCCCUAAGCACGACUGAAACUAGAGGAGGAACAUAUCUAGAGAGAGAGGGAAGCACGUGGCUGUUUUCUGUUGUGUCUAAAACCCUCAAAACCCUUAGUAUAUAUAGGAGGAGCGGAGGGAGAGGGCUGCGCCCUAGGUCUACCUCUUUGAUCCCUUGCGCAUGGGAGAGGAGGAGGAGUCCUACUCCAAUCCUAUUUGGCAUAGGAUUCCUCCUUCCCACUUGGAAACUCUUUCCACCUUGUUUUUUGACCUUCUCAAACCUUAUGAGACUUAGUGGGAACUUAUUACAGCCCACUAGGCGCUGGUUUAUCUCUUCCCACAGCCCAUGAGGCCCCUUGGGGCGUGACACCCCUCCCGAUGGUCCCCGGCACCCCUCCCGGCACUCCCGGUACACUGCCGAUGAGCCCAAAACUUUUCCGGUGACCAAAAUAGGACUUCCUAUAUAUGAAUCUUCGUUUCCGGACCAUUCCGGAAACCCUCGUGAUGUCCGGGAUCUCAUUCAGGACUCCGAACAACCUUCAGUCACCAACACAUAUAACUCAACUAUACCAAAACGUCACCGAACCUUAAGUGUGCAGACCCUGUGGGUUCGAGAACUAUGCAAACAUGACCCGAGACACUCCCCGGUCAAUAACCAACAGCGGGACCUGGAUGUCCAUAUUGGCUCCUUCAUAUUCUAAGAAGAUCUCUAUCGAUUGAAGCUCUAUGUCAAGGAUUCAUAUAAUCCCGUAUACUAUUCCCUUUGUCCUUCGGUAUGUUACUUGCCCGAGAUUCGAUCGUCGGUAUCUCCAUACCUAGUUCAAUAUUAUUACCGGCAAGUCUCUUUACUCGUUCCGUAAUACAAGAUCCCGUGACUAACUCCUUAGUCACAUUACUUGCAAGGCUUGUUGUGAUGUUGUAUUACCGAGUGAUCCCCGAGAUACCUCUCCGUCACACGGAGUGACAAAUCCCAGUCUGGAUCCAUGCCAACCCAAUAGACACCUUUGGAGAUACCUGUAGAGCACCUUUAUUGUCACCCAGUUACGUUGCAAUGUUUGAUACACACAAGGCAUUCCUCCGGUGUCCGAGAUUUGCAUGAUCUCAUGGUCAUAGGAAUAAAUACAUUGACAUGCAGAAAAACAGUAGCAAUAAACUGACACGAUCAUACACUACGUUUAUAGUUUGGGUCUUGUCCAUCACAUAAUUCUCCCAAUGAUGUGAUCCCGUUAUCAAGUGAAAACACUUGCCUAUGGCCAGGAAACCUUGACCAUCUUUGAUCAACGAGCUAGUCAACUAGAGGCUCACUAGGGACAGUGUGUUGUCUAUGUAUCCACACAUGUAUUUGAGUUUCCAAUCAAUACAAUUCUAGCAUGGAUAAUAAAUGAUUAUUAUGAACAAGGAAAUAUAAUAAUAACCAAUUUAUUAUUGCCUCUAGGGCAUAUUUCCAACAACCUUUGCUGCUCAUGUUGAUAUCCUAAAGAGAAAUGGUUUAAAUAUCAUCCACCUAUUAAAGAAAAAUUUGAAGUACCAACUAAAGUUGAGGCUGAAACUAUCAUUUACAAUGUUGACUCAGUUGGGCCUAGUGCUUAUAUUGAGAAACCACCUUUGCCUGUUAGGAUAAAGGAACAUGCUAAAGCUUCAACCGUGGUUAAUAAAGGUUAUGUUAGAAAAAACAAAACCUGUGAGCAAAUCAAGGUAGAACCUAGUACUGCUAUGGUUAAAUAUCUCUUGGUAGACAAUAUUGACAAGCAUGUUAUUUGUUUUUGUAAUGAGGCUGCUAGAAUUGCUAUACGUGAUACUAAAGAUAAGAAUAGAUGUGUUGUUGGCAUGCCUGUCGUUUUAGUAAAAAUAGGAGAUCAUUGCUAUCAUGGUUUAUGUGAUAUGUGUGCUAGUGUUUGUGCUAUCCCUUUACCUUAUAUCAAGAAAUUAUGCAUGAGAUAGCACCCGUUGAGAUAGCAGACAUAGAUGUUUCUAUUAAACUUGCCAAUAGAGACACCAUCACACUACUUGGGAUUGUUAGAGAUGUUGAACUCUUGUGUGGAAAAUUAAAAUACCAUACUGAUUUUCUAGUACUUGGCUCACCACAAGAUAAUUUUUGUCCCAUAAUAUUUGGUAGACCCUUCUUGAACAUUGUCAAUGCUCAAAUAGAAUGCAAAAAAGGAAAUUGUGAGUGUUUAUUUUGGUGGUAUGUCUCAUGAGUUUGCCUAUUGAAGAUGAAGUAAUUGUUCUUUCUUAUAUUUCCAUUCCUCCUACGGAUCAAUUAGAACAAUAUUUGCUAGACCAUGAAAAUGAUAUGCAUAUGCGUGAAAUAAAUGAAUUAAAUAAUAUGGUCUUUGAGCAAAAACCUAUUCUUAAACACAACUUUCAUGUUGAAACUCUAGGGGGUCCUCCUCCACCCAAGGGUGAUCUUGUGUUUGAGCUAAAGCAAUUAAUUGACACUUUGAAAUAUGCUUAUAUAUCUUGAUGAAAAGAAGGUAUACCAUGUUAUUAUCAGUGCUAACCUUAGAGAGCAUGAAGAAAAAAAAUUGUUAAUUUUUUAAUAAGCACCAAGCCGCUAUUGGGUAUACUCUUGAUGAUCUUAAGGGCAUUAGUCCCACUCUUUGUCAGCACAAGAUUAAUACGGAACCACAUGCUAAAUCUGUUGUUAAUCACCAACGAAGACUAAAUCCCAAAAUGAAAGAAGUGGUCAGAAAUGAAAUACUAAAUCUUCUGGAAGCAAGUAUAAUUUAUCCCAUAGCUGAUAGUAGAUGGGUAAGUCCCGUUCAUUGUGUUCCUCAGAAAGGAGGUAUUACUGUUCUUCCUAAUGAUAAAAAUGAACUCAUUGCAUAAAGAAUUGAUUUUAGAAAAUUAAACAAAACUACUAGAAAAGAUCAUUAUCCUUUACCUUCCAUAGACCAAAUGCUAGAAAGGUUAUCGAAGCACACACAUUUUUUCUUUCUAGAUGGUUAUUCUGCUUUCUCUCAAAUACCUGUGUCACAACCUCAUCAAUUAAAAACAGCUUUACUUAUCCUUUUGGAACCUAUGCUUAUAGAUGUGUGCCUUUUGGAUUAUGCAAUGCACCUGCUACCUUUCAAAGAUGUAUGAGUGCUAUAUUCUAUGAUUUUUGUGAAAACAUUGUUGAGGUCUUCAUGGAUGAUUUUUCCGUUUACGGAACCUCUUUUGAUAAUUGAUUAAGCAACCUUGAUUGCGUUUUGCAGAGAUGUGAGCAAACUAAAUUUGUCUUGAAUUGGGAUAAGUGCCACUUUAUGGUGAAUGAAGGUAUUAUCUUGGGUCAUAAAACUUUCGAGCAAGGUAUUGAGGUGGAUAAGGCUAAAGUUGAUGCAGUUGAGAAGAUGCCAUGUCCUAAGUAUAUUAAAGGUAUUCGUAGUUUCCUUGGUCAUGCUGGUUUCUAUAGGAGGUUUAUUAAAUACUUCUCUAAAAUUUCUAGGCCUCUUACUAAUUUAUUACAAAAGUAUGUUCCUUUCGUUUUUGAUGAUGAUUGUGUAGAAGCUUUUGAAACUCUUAAGAAAGCCUUAGCUUCUGCACCUAUUGUUCAACCACCUGAUUGGAACUUGCCUUUUGAAAUUAUGUGUGAUGCUAGUGAUUAUAUUGUUGGUGUUGUUCUAGGACAAAGAGUUGAUAAGAAAUUAAAUGUUAUCCAUUAUGCUAGUAAAACUCUAAACAGUGCCGAGAGAAAUUAUGCUACCACUGAAAAAUAAUUCUUAGUAGUUGUAUUUGCUUGUGAUAAAUUUAGAUCUUACAUUGUUGAUUCUAAGGUAAUUGUUCACACUGAUCAUGCUGCUAUUAAAUAUCUUAUGGAAAAUAAAGAUGCUAAGCCUAGACUUAUUAGGUGGGUUCUCUUGCUACAAUAAUUUGAUUUGAAUAUCAUUGAUAGGAAAGGAGCUGGGAACCCCGUAGCUGAUAACUUGCCUAGGUUAGAAAAUUUUCUUGAUGACCCACUAUCUAGUGAUGAUAGUUUUCCUGAUGAACAACUAGCUAUGGUCAAUGUUUCUCAUAAUACACCAUGGUUUGCUGAUUAUGCUAAUUACAUUGUUGCUAAACACAUACCACCUAGUUUCACCUAUCAACAAAACAAAAAACCCUCUUUGAUUUAAUACAUUACUUUUGGGAUGACCCACAUCUUUAUAAAGAGGGAGUAUAUGGUAUUAUUAGACGUUGUAUACAUGAGCAUGAACAAGAACAAGUCCUUCAUAAGUGUCACUCCGAGGCUUAUGGAGGACACCAUGCGAGAGAUAGAACUGCACACAAGGUAUUACAGUAUGGAUUUUAUUGGCCUACUCUGUUCAAAGAUGCUCGUGAGUUUGUCCUCUUUUGUGAUGAAUGUCAAAGAAUUGGUAAUAUAAGUAGACGUCAAGAAAUGCCUAUGAAUUAUUCACUUGUUAUUGAACCAUUUGAUGUUUGGGGAUUUGAUUAUAUGGGAGCUUUUCCUUCCUCUAAUGGGUAUACACAUAUUUUGGUUGCUAUUGAAUAUGUCACUAAAUGGGUAGAAGCUAUUCCAACCAAUAGUGAUGAUCAUAACAGCUCUAUUAAAAUGCUUAAGGAAGUUAUUUUCCCAUGUUUUGGAGUCCCUAGAUACUUAAUGACUAAUGGUGGUUCACACUUAACUCAUGGUGUUGUUCACAAGUUUCUUGCUAGAUAUGAUGUUAACCAUAGAAUUGCAUCUCCCUAUCAUCCCGAGUCUAGUGGUCAAGUUGAAUUAACCAAUAGAGAAAUAUAACUAAUAUUGCAAAAGGCUGUCAAUAGGUCCCGAAAGAAUUGGUCUAAGAAAUUAGAUGAUGCAUUGCGGGCGUACAGAAUAGCUUACAAAAUCCUAUGGGUAUGUCUCCUUAUAAAAUGGUUUAUGAGAAAGCAUGUCAUUUACCUCUUGAGUUAGAACAUAAAGCUUAUUAGGCAAUUAAAGAACUCAACUAUGAUUUCAAACUUGCUGGUGAAUAGAGGUUAUUUGAUAUUAUCUCAUUAGGUGAAUGGAGAAUCCAAGCCUAUGAAAAUGCCAAACUACUAAAAGAAAAAGUUAAAAGAUUGCAUGAAAAAAGAAUCCAAAAGCGUGAAUUCAAAGUUGGUGAAUAUGUUCUAUUUUACAAUUCUCAUCUUAGAUUUUUUGCAGGAAAUCUUCUCUCCAAAUGGGAAGGACCAUGUAUCAUUUAAGAAGUUUAUUGGUCUGGAGCUAUUAAGAUCAAUAAUCUUGGAGGCACUAACCCGAAGGUGGUCAAAGGACUAAGAAUAAAGCAAUAUAUUUCAAGUACACCAAUUAAUGUUGAAACAAAUAUUAUCCAAACCAAGACACCAGAGGAGCACAUUAGGGGGACCAUCCAAAAUACUCCAAAAACCUUUAAAAGGAAGAGGUAUUGUAACUCCCAAGAUGCGAUCCUAUCCUUAUUUUGGCGCGAGGGCCUCGACAGGGGUAGAGGCGCAUCUCAUUGUUUUGCAAUGGAUAUUGUUACAAGUACAUGUACUGAAGAGAUGAGUAUAUGGAAUUGGCUUACACUCGCCACAAGCUACAUCAAGUUCACAUCAGUACAACAACAUCAUCAAUCAUCAUGAAGAAGAGCAGGGUCCGACUACGGACGAAAACAAACAAUAAAAGAAUGACGUCCAUCCUUGCUAUCCUAGGGUGUCGGCAUGGAACCCAUCCUAGAUCGAUGAUGAUGAAGAAGAAGAAGAACUCCAAUUAGAACAAUCAUCACACUCACGUCAAAGUAUCGCUUUACCUGUACCUGCAACUGGUGUUGUAGUAAUCUAUGAGCCACAGGGACUCAACAAUCUCAUUUCCAAAGGUAUCAAUACUAGCAAAGCUUAAUGGAUGAGGUAUGGUUAAGUGGUGAGGCUGCAACAACGACUAAGCAUUUAUUUGAGGUGGCUAAAUUACGAGUACGAGAAUAAGAGAGGGGGAUGAUCUACGCAUACUAGGACGUGAACUAAUAAUGAUCAAAUGAAUGAUCCUGAACACCUACUUAUGUCAGACAUUACCCCACCGUGUCCUCAGUCGGAGAAGGACCUCACGAAAUAAACAAUCAUGGUUACGCACACAAUUGGCAUAUUUUAAUUAAGCUCACUUUAAGUUAUCUAGAACCCGAUGUUAAACAAAGUUUUCAAGUUUGUCACAUAAGCACGGGCAUGACUUUCCAAAAGAUUUACCCUGUAGGGGUGUUCCAACUAGUCCAUCACAAAUUACCACAAGCUGCAUAGAAAGCCUCGGUCAUGAAACUUGUGAUCUCCUCGGAUUCCUUAGUGGAAAACCUCAACUCUGAGAUAGCCCAAAGCAUCACCGGAAUCCCGAUGCACAAGAUAUUUCAUAAAAGAUAAAACAAAUCCCGCACGGCCGCCCGACGUGUCGACGAACCCGAUAUGAGCCGCGUAUCUUGUUCUCAGGACACGACCGGAUGGGAAAGCCUACUAGUAAAACCAAACCUCGAGGUGCCCCGUGGUGGCCCCCCCAGUCUGCCCUUUUUGGACCAACACUCAUGAGGAGCACUGGCCCGUGGGUUGAUUAAGUAUCCUCGGGUUAAUUACUCCCUAUGUGGUUCAUUAGUUAUUAGGCAAAUAGUACCGAAGUUGGGCCUUGCCAGACAAGCUUUUACUAAGACGAAUUAUCAAGGGGGUCCCCAUAACAACCCCGAUCGUGUUGGGAGCACUCAGUUACGGAAUAUAACACCGGCAGCCGAAACUAAGGAGACAAAGCUGGAACAAAACACCAGGCUAGAAAGCGGAGCCUUCUAGCUUUUACCAAGUAUAUAGGUCCAUUAAGUUAAUUAGAAUUAUAUGGUGAUAUAACAAGGAAGCCAUGUUAUCACAUGGAAGAAACGACACCUGCAACUAGCAACAGUAACACAUGGUUAAGCAAGCAAUAACAUAGCUAAUCAGUGGUUUGGUAGGUUGUAGAAAGGUUGAAGGUUUCUUGGCAGUGUUGAGAGGCUGACAUUUAACAUGUGGUAGGCAACGAGACAUAACGAAAGAAAUGAGACAACUAGCAUGGCAUUGAUAGUAAUGGUAUCUAGGGAAACGGUCAUCUUUCUUGAGAUCCUGCUCGGAAGAAGAACGAAUCCGUGAAGCAGGCGGACCAACGAAGUCGAACGGAUCCUCACAUUCCGAUAUGCUUGCGGAACUCUAUCGAGAAGAAGCAAACCGGAAACAAGAAUCAACACACGAUAUUCACCAUGGCACAUGCACCAUAUUAUGCACAACCUAAUAUGAUGCAUGUCCAUUUCAAUUAUGCAAAGCAUGGCAUGACAUUUCACAACAAUCGAACACUACAUGUUAAGUGAAGCUCAAUAUGCAAUGAGUUGCAUAUUGACGAAACUCCACAUACGAAUUAUUUAAUUCACUCCUGAUUAGGUACACGACAAUAUUAAAUAUUGCUUAAACAUGGCAAGAGGUCAAGCACAAAUAAACUACAUAUCUAGACAUUUUAAAUGAGGCCGAAAACAUCAUAUAGCAUUUCCGAAACGACCCCACACGUUAACUUCGAAAUCUAUCCAGAUCUGACCUAAACAUAUUUUAUGUAUGUUAAACGGCAAAAUAAAGUGAUUCACGUGAAACUACAUGUCAUUCUAGUCGAUUUACAUAUAUCGAUCAUCUCCAACGGAGCUACGGUUAACUAGCUAUGAACAAUACAAGAUCAUAUGCUAUGAAUGCAACAUCUAUGCAAUAUGUGUGUGUGUGCAAAAGGAAAAAAAAUAAACAUGGAACAAAUUGGGGUACAGGGGAAUUGAACCGAGUACCUCUUGGUUGCAAACGAGCGUUUGACCAACUGGCUAGCGAGUGCGUGAAAAACAAUGGAUUGCUGCACUUGAUGAUACUGGGCGUCGAGCGAACCUAAACAAACAACAGCAAAACAAAUCGGGGUGCCUGGGAUUCGAAUCCGAGACCCCUUGCUUUGCUGCGCGCUGUAAUGACCAGCUCGGCUAGCAUUGUAUUUUUGAACUAAACCAACAACAUUGCUUAACUACAUACGCACCAAAACGGAUCUAUGCAUCAAAUGAAGCCUUUUGUCCAUGUAGGGAUGAGCUCACAACGAAACAACGAAGAGGACGAUGGGCAGCACAGGCACGGGAGCGGCCGGAUCCAACGAUUGGCCAUCAGAUCUGGGCGGAGGGGCGAGGUCCUGCAUGGGAGCCCUCCAUGGUAGAGCUUCUAGUCCUUGCUGGUGUUGAACGGUGAGCUAGAUAUGCGGCAGCGGGGUAAGACAACGCUGGAGGCGAGGGGAAAGCUCCAGCUUGAGGAGCACAUGCUAUUCGGGCGGCUACCUCUGGAGGUGCUGGACACGUCCAGGGGCAGCAAGCGCGCCGCGGUGGCCAUGUGCACCUGGGUUGGUGCAGGGGAGCUCCAAGCUCUAGCAGAGCUGGUCGGGGGUCUUGCGUGCGGGGUGUGCUUGAGCAGCGGGCCAUGCCGGUGCGGGGUCGCGAGCGAGGGGCGGCACCGGUCAAGACUGGUGCUGCUGGUUGGAUGUCUGCGAGGCUGUGAGGCCAGAUGGAUGGAUGGUUUCCUCGGUGGGGAUUGAAACUGAGGAGGGAUUAGGUGGUGCACGGUGGCGCCUGGAUCGGGAGGGAUCCUGAGGGGAUGCGGUUGGCGGCAACGAGGGAAUGGAUCUAGGGUUUGGUCUGAAUUUGGUCUAGGAUGGACUACAUAUAGCACAUGGGUUUUAGUUAGGGGCUAUCAAGACCCUCUGGUCGCAAUCGGGCGGUCGGGAAAAAAUAGGUUAAGGAGACCAUUUAACAACCCGAUGAUGGUUUGCGGUAAAACGGGAUUGAUCCGGACCCAACGAUGACGACCAUAUGAUUCAGGUUCCGAGAGGUUUUCAGACUAGGCUACGCGUAGGUCGGUGCAUUGUGCACAGGAGCUAGACGGAGAUGAGAGGGAAAAUGGGCAACCCGGCAUCAGGUUUUAAAACACUGAAAAUGUCCGACGAAAUGACCGGCUAUAGUGCCGCUAUAUGUUUAACGGUUCGGGUAUCAAACGAACUCCGAUUGCAACGAAAUUUGGCAGGUGGCCUAUGUGAAGCCCUCGUUUUAAUCGUACGCUAAUCAUACACGCAAAUGUGUACGAUCAAAUCCAAGGACUCACAGGAAGAUAUCACAACACAACUCUAGACACAAAUAAAACAAUAUCAGCUUCAUAUUACAAGCCAGGGGCCUCGAGGGCUAGAAUAUGGAAGCUCGAUAAACACACGAGUCAGCGGAAGCAACAAUAUCUGAGUACAGACAUAAAACAUGGGGUGCCUUAGAGAAGGCUAGCACAAAAGAUACAACGAUCGAACGAGGCGAGGCGUCCUGCCUGGGAACCUCCUAACUACUCCAAAUCAUCAGCGGCCUCCACGUAGUAGUAGCCACCAUCGGGGUAGCAGUCGUCGUCGGUGGGGACCUCCAUCUCCGGGGCUCCAUCAUCUGGUCACAGCAAACGGAUCAAGGGGACAAGGGGGGAGCAAAGCAGCGGUGAGUACUAAUCCAAAGUACUCGCAAGUCUUACAUCAGAACUAUUCUAAGUAUGCAUCAGUAUCAAAGAAGGGGGGUUUUAUAUGUGGACUAACUGCAGCAAUGCGAGAAUAGAGAGAGAAGGCCUAGUCCUAUCGAAGACUAGCAUCUUCAGGGUCUUGCAGCAAUAGACGAGAGUAGAACAGGUAACACCAUUAAUAGUCAUAUUGUUGCAGCAUUAUUAAUGUGAGGUCACGCCCAGAGAUCCUCCCUCGACUCCCUGCGAGGAAGCAAUCCCGAGGCAACUAAUUUCCAGUUAAGUAACCAUUGUAGUUGUAUAAGAUCAGGGCACAAGUCCAAGUCGUCCUGGAACCGUGGACACGGCUAUUCGAAUAGUUAAUUUUCAUCCCUGCAGGGGUGCACCACAUGUCCCGACGCGCUCGAUAACACUUUGGUCGGACACACUUUUCUGGGUCCUGUCCGGCCUCGGAAUAUCGACAUGUCGCAACCCCACCUAAGACUAAUCAGAGAGGCCAGCCCACCGGUCUAAAUCCUAAGCGCAAAGGGUUCAUGGGCCCAGUUACCCUCCGUGCUCCUACACGAUGCGAGGGCGGCCGACGUCAGUCCUAGCAUCCCUUAAUCACAAGCGCGAUGCAUCUUGGGACCACUCGGGCGCGCGCCACUACGUUGGUGACAUUUGAAAAGCUUCGGCUGAUACCGCGACGCCGAGUACCCAUAAUUCUUCCCACGCAUACGGUUAGUGCGAAAAGGUCUCCGACCAACCCAGAUCAAAUACCCAAAUCCAUUAACAUUUUAAUUAGGCCAUCGACACAGUCUCGCGGGAAUCCACGCGUCUUAACAACUAAUCACCAAUGAUCCCAGUAACAUGGUCGAGUAACUGUGUGGUUGUAACAUCGGGGGAGGGGGGAGAUCCGAGGUAUCACCCUCGUUGGAUUCCGAACGACGUAUCCGUCAAGGUGGGCUUAGAGGAAUCACCCUCGGGGGUCCCACACUUGAGGGAUUGCACGACAGAGGCAUCGUCGGGAAUGGUGAAAGAGGAAUCACCCUCGAUAACCACGACUGACUAGCUAUACUACAGAGAUAUCAUCAGGAGUACUUAGAGAGGUGUCACCCUCGGUACCCGAUAGUAUCUUUGUAGCGUCGUACAACUAAGGGGGGUGUAUGUGCUGUGUUGGGUCUAGCUUGUCGAUCAGGGAUCGAGAUUUGAAAACAAGCGGAGCAACUGGACUACGGGGUCAACGGGGAUGACUGCUCCACCUAUACUAAGCAUAUUUAAAGGUACAUGACUGAAAGUAGCAGUUCAUCAAAAAUAGGCUAUGCAUCAGAUAUAGGAGCUAACUACAACAGUAGCAAAAUACUAAUGCAAGCAGUAGGAAGAAAGACAUAGGCGAUAUAGGAAUGAUCAAGGGGGUUUGCUUGCCUUGCUGCUCUGCGGCAAAGGACUGAUCGGCAGGGUCGUAGAUGUACCCGACAGCAGCAUCAGUCUCGGGGUCUACCGGUAAGAAGAGGGGGAAGAAACAAUAAAUAAUAGCAACGGUGCAACACAACGCAUGACAUGGCAAGAUGCAGGCUAGACAUGAGCUAACGCAGCAACAUCCGUCAUAGACGGGUCAGAAGAAUAUCUAACGAUAUUUUCUGGGUCUCUGGCUACUACCGGACAGAUGGAAAAACGAUGGAAAUGUUCCAUGUUUGCUAUGCUAGGGACGCGUGACACACGAAUGGACCGUGUAUCCGGGUUCGUCUCGCUCUGCUCAUCAACUUUCAUGUUGAAAAUAUUUUUAUCUGACUUACGGAUUAUUUUAUAUUAAUUUUUAAAGUUUUAUUCAAUAAUUAGGAAUUAAAAACAGAUUUUUUUUAAAUAAAAUGCUAUUAUGACAUCAGCAUGAUGUCAUGCUAACAUCACCAGUUGACUGGUCAACUGACUAGUGGGUCCCGAGCGUCAUAGGCACAAGUUUUAAUUAUGAUUAAAUAUUAAUUAAUCAGAUUAAUUUAGUGGGGGACCCACGUGUCAUACUCUAAUUACCCAAUUAAUUAAUUAAUUAGUAUAUCUAUUUAUUUAUUUAAUAAAAACAUUAUUUUUAUUUUUAUAUUCUAAUUUUCACAUUUCUUUAAGAGAGGUUGUGGGGCCUCCCUGUCAUAGACAGCGGGGUGGGUUGGCCCCACCGGUAAGUGGAUAUAGGCCACAUACACAUUUUUCCUACAUAUACAUAUUCGCCAUAUACCUACAUACAUAAAUACAUACAUCAUGCAUCUCAUACAUACAAAAUACGUACGACAUUUAUACAUACAUACAUACANNNNNNNNNNNNNNNNNNNNNNNNNNNNNNNNNNNNNNNNNNNNNNNNNNNNNNNNNNNNNNNNNNNNNNNNNNNNNNNNNNNNNNNNNNNNNNNNNNNNNNNNNNNNNNNNNNNNNNNNNNNNNNNNNNNNNNNNNNNNNNNNNNNNNNNCAUACAUACAUACAUACGCAAUAAAUCAUUUAUUUUUAUUUCUCUCAAAGACUCUCUCUCCAACCUCUUUGUUUAACACAGAACUCAACAUCACACAGAGAGGGACACAUCUCCAAGAUCACCUACACGAACCUAUCGGCGUCGGAUCGGAACGCCGUUUGCCGGAACGGAACCGGGACGGCGUGAUGAAGGAGAUGGUGGGAGGAGCCCGAAGAGGGGCUCACCGACGUUGACGAGAGGGCCCGGUGAAGCCGGAGUUCUCGGGAGGCGGAGGUGACGACGAGGAGGAGGACGAGUCGGUGACGGUGGUGACGGUUCCGGUGAGGACGUGCCAGCGAGGGGAGCCGGCCGGAGGGUCGCUGAGAGGGGCCCCGGUGAGGAGGGACCCCCCGGAGAUGUGAGGGACGCCGGAGGGGCUCCCGGGGCCGCGGUGGGGCGAUGCAGGGGAGGGAGGCCGAUUUGCAGGAGGGUCUCGGGUGGAGGUGGUGUCGUGGGGGAGAGGGGCUCGGUCCCUGGGAGGCAGGAGGGAUCGGGCGAGCAGGGAGGGGCCGANNNNNNNNNNNNNNNNNNNNNNNNNNNNNNNNNNNNNNNNNNNNNNNNNNNNNNNNNNNNNNNNNNNNNNNNNNNNNNNNNNNNNNNNNNNNNNNNNNNNUCCGAGUGCGACUUUUAGUGCACACUCGAAGCGAGUUGUUACUCAUGUAGUUGUCAAUUGUCUUCACAUCCACAUGAGCCUCAAUGAGGGUCUGCUAAGCCUCCGAGUGGAUCUCUAGGAUACACUCGAAGGAAGCAUUUUACUUAGGCGAUUCUGGAUCGCAGCUAAGUCUCCGAGUGCGACUUUUAGUGCACACUCGGAGCGAGUUGUUACUCAUGUAGUUGUCAGUUGUCUUCACAUCCACAUGAGCCUCAAUGAGGGUCUGCUAAGCCCCCGAGUGGAUCUCUAGGAUACACUCGAAGGAAGCUUUUUACUUAGGCGAUUCUGGAUCGCAGCUAAGUCCCCGAGUGCGGCUUUUUAGUGCGCACUCGGAGCGAGUUUGUACUUAGGCGAUUCUGGGUCGCANNNNNNNNNNNNNNNNNNNNNNNNNNNNNNNNNNNNNNNNNNNNNNNNNNNNNNNNNNNNNNNNNNNNNNNNNNNNNNNNNNNNNNNNNNNNNNNNNNNNNNNNNNNNNNNNNNNNNNNNNNNNNNNNNNNNNNNNNNNNNNNNNNNNNNNNNNNNNNNNNNNNNNNNNNNNNNNNNNNNNNNNNNNNNNNNNNNNNNNNNNNNNNNNNNNNNNNNNNNNNNNNNNNNNNNNNNNNNNNNNNNNNNNNNNNNNNNNNNNNNNNNNNNNNNNNNNNNNNNNNNNNNNNNNNNNNNNNNNNNNNNNNNNNNNNNNNNNNNNNNNNNNNNNNNNNNNNCUUAGGCGACUCUGGGUUGCAGCUAAGUCCCCGAAUGCGGCUUUUUAGUGCGCACUCGGAGCGAGUUUUUUACUUUGGCGACUCUGGGUCGCAGCUAAGUCCCUGAGUGCGACUUUUAGUGNNNNNNNNNNNNNNNNNNNNNNNNNNNNNNNNNNNNNNNNNNNNNNNNNNNNNNNNNNNNNNNNNNNNNNNNNNNNNNNNNNNNNNNNNNNNNNNNNNNNCCGGAGGGCAAAAGUGCUCCUCCACACGUUCGACCUCCAGACGGCGGCGCUUCAUCCCGAAAGUCCUCCUCUUACCUUUUUUCAUGGUAAAAGGUAUUUUAUAAAAGAAGAUGAUCGCCAGAGGUGGACGAGGGGGCCCACUAGACAUUAUACCGCGUCAAGGGGGGCGGCACGCCCUGGUGUAUAUUGGGCGCUUCGUAGCCCCCCUCCGGUACUUCUUCGCUCAAGUAUUUUUUUAUUUACUAUAAUAUAAAUCCCUGUAAAUUUUCAUCCCAAUUGGAGAUUUGCACAAUAGGUACCUUUGACGUAACUUUUUCAAGUCCAGAAUUCCAUCUGCCGGUAUGAUCCAACUUGUUGUAAACCUUGCAUAUUGAGAGAGAGAAAAGGCAUUAGAAUUAUUCCACCAAGUGGAAAAAUGCAUAAAAACACUAUAAAUAACAGCAAACAAACAUGAUUCAAAAUGUAUGUAUCAACUCCCCCAAGCUUAGACCUCGCUUGUCCUUAAGUGAAAUCCGACAACGAAAAUCAUGACCACAUGCUUUGAGAGAGAGGUGUCGACAAAAACAAAAUACGGACAUAGGAGCAUCAUGCUCAUUAUUAUAAGAGUGAAUAAAACUUUAUAAAAUACUUAAUCACAUCAUUUUCAUCAUAUAACUUUCAUCAUAAAGGCUUCUUAUAAACAAGUAGCAAUUCAUCACAACAUUGAAGUAUGAAACAUAAAUUCUAUUGAAAACUAACAAACUAUGUUCUCAGUCAACUUUGCAACACAAUUCAUCAUAUUUUCAGGAAGGGUCACAUAUCGGAGCUUUGAAGCAAGUCUACAUACUCAACCAUCAUUAAGUCUCCUGUGAUUGCUAACACUCACCGCAUACAUAUGAGCAAAAGGUUUCAGCCGAACACAUAGAAAGACAAGGGCUUAUACUGUUGCAUCCCAACGUAUUCACCUCAAGGGUGAUGUCAAUAAUAAUAACUCAUGGCCACACACAUUCAGCUGGAUAUAUAUGUUUAGAUCUUUCCCCACUACAUGAUGCUUGCCAAAGGAAAGAUAAAGGAAGUAGAGGAAAAUACUUUGACUCUUGCGCAGAAGUAAAUUCAUAAAGGUAAAAGAUAGGCCCUUCGCAGAGGGAAACAUAGGUUGUCAUGCAUUUUUUGUUUGUAUGCUAAAUUUCUUAGUGCAAAGGAACCUUACGUUAUAUUGCCCCUUGCGAUAGGAACCUUUAUUAUGCAGUCCGUUGCUUUUAUUAUCGCCAUCACAAGUGUACAACGCUUAAUUUCCCUUACACUAAAUGAUCAAACAUGUUGAGAAACAUUUUUAUUGCUUUGUGCACCGAUGACAACUUACUUGAAGGAUCUUACUCAAUCCAUUGGUAGGUAUGGUGGACUCGUGAAACAUGGAUUUGGGUUUAAGGUUUUGGAUGCACAAGUAGUAUCUCUACUUAGUGCGGAGUUUUGGCUAGCAAAGGUAUUUGGCAAGCACCACAUGUUAGAGGAUCUAUAACAAUAUAACUUCUAUGUGAAUGUGAACAAGCAUAUAUCAUUACCUUGUCUUCCAUGUCCAAUGUCAAAAGUUUUGGCAUAUUAUAAUUUAUGGGGGCUCACAGUCAUAAAAGAUGUCAAGGAUAGUGUAUUUGCAUGUAAAUAUUGUCUUCCCUUAUUAAUUCUUUCAUGUGUUGCAUCACCGACCAAUGCUACGUUUGUCAAUCUUCAACAAAUUUUACCCCUUAUUCUUUUCUUUAUGUGAUGUCACUACUUACUAUAAGAUUGGCAUAUGAUCUUUUCAUUAUUUUUCUUUAUUUUGAUUGCAGCAAGAAAUUAAACAAGAAAAACUAAAACUAAACUUUAUUAUAUAACUCUCACUUGAUUACAUAAAUAGAUAGAUAGAUCAUGAAACUAGCACUGAGAAGAAAAGGAUCGAACUAAACUUGUAUUUGACUAAAUUUCAAAAUAUCUAAAGAUCAAACUUAGAUGGAUAAAGAUAAGUAAGAGUGAUGGUGAUAUGAUACCGGGGUUCCGCCUCCAAGCUAGGCACAAGCCAAGGGGAAUGCACAUACCCGUGUACUCAAGUCUCCUUCUUUGGUGGUGAAGAUGGAGGUGGUGGUGUAGAUGAUGAAGUAGCGCCACAGUGUAAUAUCAGGAGGUUCUCUAGAUGUUGAAUAACGCUCCGGAGGUUGAUGAUUUGGUCCUUUAACAAAAUAUUUUCAUGAGUAAGAUAUUUAUUCUGAACGUGAACUGUUUUGAAGUAUCUAAAGGCUUCAAUUUCAAUAAGGGCGAUACGCUCAUAGUAGGGUUGGAGGUAAUAUUCUUCUUCUCUUCUUUUGGUGGCAUGGCCUACCCUUCUUCUGGAUCUUGAUCCCCCUUGACUUCCUCGCCCUUGCUCUCCAUGAUAGCUCCUACUGGUUCAUCCUCCUUUAGUUACAUCUUCAUCAGCCAAGCAUCUUCUUCUACGUGGUUGGAGGGGGGAGAAGGCAUGAUGCCCGGCUUGAUGGUUCUGACAGAAAAAUAGCACGAAACAAGAACAGAGGAUUUCUCCAUCGUACUGGGGUCAAAUCAUGGGGAGAUAUAUAUAGAGAGAAAUUUAUACAAGGGAAUACGUGUUCCACAAGAAAAUGGAGCCACUAAGGUGCCCGAGGGGACCACUAGACAUCAGGUCGCGCCACGGGGGCUUGACGCACCCUCGUGUCUAGUGGACACCUAGGUUGCCUUCCCGUUUUUCUCAAAUUCCUAUUUUUCUAAUAUUCCAAUACUGACAGAAAAUAUAUUUGCAGAAUUUUUCGAGACCUUUUACUUACCAUAUGACAUACCUGUAAUAGCCCGAGACCGAUGCUCCAGAAGAUUCCCCUUUUAUUUCGUUUCCACCGUGUGAUUAGAUUAUUUGUCGCAUUCAUCAUCGCAUCAUUCACAUCAUCCGCAUUACAUCGGCACUCCGUUGCCGUCAGUUUUCAAAACUUCCAUCCAUUAUUAGCUGUCGAAUCUCUCCAUUUUUGUCGUUGACCAUUUUGAGACCAACCACACACGCACCUGCCCGCGACAUCGUUAAAAUCUUGUUUUCAAGAGUGUGUAUAAAACUUUCUCGGAUUGGGUUGAAACUUGGCGUGCGGUUUUUCUAAUUUAGGCUACAUCAACGUCGGAGAGGACAAACGAAUCCUGGUAGCUGGCGGUGAUAGAAGGUAGGGACAGGACCCUGUGUCCCGUUGUGGCUCGUGUGAGUGUACCGUAUCCACUCGAGGAGCUGGGUCCAAGUUCAGGGGUUCUACCCCCAACAUCAGUCCACUCAAGAGCUGAUGGUAGCUCUGUCCUGCUCGGCUUGCGGAUGCGCAUAGGGGGAACCCUCGGGCAGUGAGUCGCAAGUCAUACUGCAACCACCUCCAGGUUCAUAAGGUUCAUGAUAAUCUGCAAGAGGAAUUCCGCAAGCUGAACCUCCAUAUUGUUCCUCAGGGUUACCUUGUUCCCCCUCCUGAAGAGUGUCAAAAUAUGAACCUUCGUGUUGUUAAUCAGGGUUCCCUCAGUAACCUAGUGGUUGAACCAGAUCUUGUGAGCUCCAUAAAGAAUCAGCAAGGCUUUGACGAUGAUGUCGACGGGAUUAAGAGCUAUAUUACGAAGCGUAAACCCUCCUUUUUCACUGUUGCUGAAGAUGGCGCCUUGUACUUCAAGGGUCGCCUAUUCGUUCCAAAUAAGAAGGAAAAUCUCAGGAUGACCGGAGAGGUGAUGAAAGAAGCUCACGACACACCAUUGUCUAUUCACCCGGGUAGUACCAAGAUGUACCAAGACAUCCGGCAAAGAUUCUGGUGGCCCAAUAUGAAACAAGACAUUGCACGCUAUGUGGCAGAAUGUGAUAUAUGCCGGCAUAUCAAAGCAGAACAUCAAAAGCCUGUUGGAACUCUGCAACCUAUCUCUAUUCCUGAGUGGAAAUGGGACCAUGUUGAAAUGGACUUUGUCACUGGUUUCCCAGAUCUCAGAAAGGUAAUGAUGCUAUUCUUGUCGUCAUUGAUCGACUGUCCAAAGUUGCACAUUCCCUGGCCGUCAAAGAAACAAUUAAUGCUAGUCAGCUGGCAGAUCUUUAUAUGUUAAGAGUUGUUUCACUUCACGGUAUUCCGUUGGUAAUCAGCUCGGACCGUGGCAACUUGUUCACUUCAAAAUUCUAGGAAAGUCUUCAGAAGUCUAUGGGGACUCAUCUGUCCUUCAGCACUGCAUUUCAUCCUCAAUCCCAGGGACAAGUUGAACGAGUCAACCAAAUUCUCGAGGACAUGCUUCGAGCUUGUGUCAUUUCUUUCGGUAAGAAAUGGGAGGAACCUCUCCCGUAUGCCAAGUUCUCUUACAACAAUAGCUAUCAAGCUAGUCUGAAGAUGGCCCCUUUCGAAGUAUUGUAUGGACGAAGGUUUCGAACUCUUCUGAAUUGGUCAGAAACUGGGGAACGAUCAUUCUUCGGUCCGCAUAUUAUUCAACAUGCCGAGGAUCAAGUUCGCGUUAUUCAUGAGAAUCUGAAGGCUGCUCAGUCUCGUCAGAAGAGUCAGUAUGACCAUCAUCAUCAAGAUAUGGUCUAUCAACCUGGCGAAAAGGCUUAUCUUCGUGUCACACCAAUGAGAGGUACACACCGUUUCGGGAUCAAGGGCAAGAUAUCUCCUUGUUAUAUUGGUCAUUUCACUGUUCUCGAAAGGCGUGGGAGAGUGGCUUAUCAAUUGGAACUGUCGGCGAACCUUUCUCAGGUUCACGAUGUCUUCCAUGUUUCUCAGCUCCGUCACUGCUUCAAGGAUCCUAUUCGAGCAGUGGAUCAUGGUAUGCUUGAGCUGCAACAAUACCUCUCUUAUAAAGAGCAUCUGGUCCGCAUUCUCUACCAAGCUGAACGUAAAACUCUUCGCAAAGUCACCAAGUUCCUUAAGGUGCAGUGGUCAAAUCAUUCUGAAGAUGAAGCCACUUGGGAACGCUAGGAUCAUCUUCGUGAUGAAUACCCCGGGCUCUUGCCUUCUACCUCUUAAUUCUCGGGACGAGAAUUCUUGUUAGUAGGGGAGAAUUGUGACAUCCUCGACUUUUGCUACGGUGAUGAUUGUAAUUAAGUGACAGUGAUCCCGCGCUAAUGAUGCCACAUCAUCGUGGAUUAUAUCAAUGUUCUCAUGUUGGUUGAAACCGACUCAAAAUUCAAAGCUUGGAGAUUAAGUCAAACAAGGAAAGAUAUUAUGUUGUUGAAAUAAAAACGUCGGGAGUUAUAAAAAUUCCCUAGCGGAUUAUAAUAUCAAAUCGGGCACUUUAGGAAUUAUUGUUAAAUCCCCAUAUAUUUAAAAGUGGAGAUUUAAAUCAAAUAAAUAAAAGAAAUAUAGUAAAUGAAAAGAAAUAAAUAAAAGAAAGAAUUAAAAUUAUAUAUANNNNNNNNNNNNNNNNNNNNNNNNNNNNNNNNNNNNNNNNNNNNNNNNNNNNNNNNNNNNNNNNNNNNNNNNNNNNNNNNNNNNNNNNNNNNNNNNNNNNUCCUCACGUCCCUCGAUCCGCCUCGCGAACCGUCCCACAAACCGUCAUGCGAUCCGUCCCACGAUCCGCUCCGAUCUAGUGCCAAACGGACGGCACCUCCGCGUUCACCACACAUACAACUCGACGAUGAUCACAGCCUUCUUGAUCCAGCAAGCAAGACAGAGAAGUAGAUGAGUUCACCGAUAGCAUGACGGCGCUCCGGUGGUGGUGAAGGAUCUACUCCUGCAGGGCUCCGCCCAAGCUCCGCAGAAAUACGAUCUAGAGGAAAAAUCUUGAUGUUUUGUGGUCGGGCUGCCGUGGCAAAGUUGUCUCAAAUCAGCCCUAUACCUUCACUAUAUAUAGGGGGAGGGGUGGGGAGGCUUGCCUUGGGGUCCAAGACCCCAAGGCUCUGCCGUCCAAGGAGGUGGAGGAGUCCACCUCCAAUCCUAGUCCAACUAGGAUUGGAAGGUGGAGUCCUUCCCUUCCUUCCCACCUCCCUUUUUUUUCUUUUUCCUUUGAUUUCUUAUCUCCUGCGCAUAGGGCCUCUUGGGUUGUCCCACCAACCCACUAAGGGCUGGUGCGGCACCCCUACGGCCUAUGGGCUUCCCCGGGUGGGCUGCCCCCCCCCCCCCCGGUGAACACCCGGANNNNNNNNNNNNNNNNNNNNNNNNNNNNNNNNNNNNNNNNNNNNNNNNNNNNNNNNNNNNNNNNNNNNNNNNNNNNNNNNNNNNNNNNNNNNNNNNNNNNUUAUAGUCACCCAGUUACGUUGUGACGUUUGAUACACCCAAAGCACUCCUACGGUAUCCGGGAGUUGUACAAUCUCACGGUCGAAGGAAAAAAUACUUGACAUUAGAAAAGCAUUAGCAUACGAACAAUACGAUCUAGUGCUAGGCUUAGGGUUGGGUCUUGUCCACCACAUCAUUCUCCCAAUGAUGUGAUCCCGUUAUCAAUGACAUCCAAUGUCCAUGAUCAGGAAACCAUGAUCAUCUAUUGACUAACGAGCUAGCUAACUAGAGGCUUGCUAGGGACACAUUGUGAUCUAUUCAUUCACACAUGUAUUAGUGUUUCCUGUUAAUACAAUUAUAGCAUGAACGAUAGACGAUUAUCAUGAACAAGGAAAUAUGAUAAUAACCAUUUUAUUAUUGCCUCUAGGGCAUAUUUCCAACAGGGUUGCUAGGGUUUUGCUUUGGUUUUCAUUUCAUUUCCUUGGAUGCAUUGAAGAAAACAUGAGCACAUCUUACUAACCUAAUAAGGAUCAGGGAUGUGACAUUAUGGGCCUUUUCUCACUUGCUUCUUAUUGAUGUUUCUAUCAACAUUGUGUUAGCCCAUGUCGUUAGCUUUCUAACAAACUUGGUUUCGUUGAAUUCAGAGUACGUAUGUGAAAGUUAAGACAGUUUCAGUGGAGAGGCGGUAGUACCGCUCCCACGAGCGGUAGUACCGCUCCGUCGGACUUUAUUUGCGCAUCUUUUUACCUCGGCAUGGUUGCUGAACCUCCUGAGCGGUAGUACCACUCCGUCGGACUUUAUUUGCGCAUCCUUUUUGCCUCGGCAUGGCUAGUGAACCUACCGAGCGGUACUACCGCUCCCAUGAGCAGUAGUACCGCUCUGUGCGGGCUGUGAAGUAUAAUGGUUGGAUUUUUCCUCACCUAUAAAAGGGGGUCUUCUUCCCCAUUGAACCUUAUCUCUUCAGCUCGUGUUCUUCCCCCAUUGUUGACCUUCUUCAAUCUUGCUAACUCUCAAUCCCUCCAAUGAUUUUUGCUAGCUCCUGAGGGAAAAGAGAGAGGAGGUCUAGAUCCACAUUUCCACCAAUCACUUUCUCCUCUAAGUGAGGGGAACCCUUUGGGUAUAGAUCUUGGAGUUCUUCGUGUUCUUCUUUCUUCUUCCUCUCAUUUUCCUCCCUAGCAUUAGUUGCUUUGGUGGGAUUUGGGAGAGAAGGACUUGGGCACUCCGUGUGCCCUUGCCAUUGCAUUUGGUGCAUCGGUUUGAGUUCUCUACGGUGAUACCUGGAAGUGAGAAGUUGAGAAGCUUAUUACCCUUGGGUACUUGGUACCCCUAGAAGCUUGGUGGUGCCUCGGAGCUCAAUCAUUGUGGUGUAAAGCUCCAGGCAAGCGUCGGGGUCUCCAAUUAAGUUGUGGAGAUUGCCCCGAGCAUUUGUGGUCACCUCGAAGACAUAUGCCAUUGUGGUGAAGCUUCGUGGUGUUGUUGGGAGCCUCCAAUUAAGUUGUGGAGAUUGCCCCAACCUUGUUUGUGCGGGUUCGGUGACCGCCCUCAAGGGUCCCUUAGUGGAAUCACAGCAUCUUGCAUUGUGCGAGGGUGUGGGGAGAUUACGGUGGCCUUAGUGGCAUCUUGGGGAGCAUUGUGCCUCCACACCGCUUCAACGGAGAUUUGCAUUUGCAAGGGUGUGAACUUCGGGAUACAUCAUCGUCUCCGCGCGCCUCGGUUAUCUCUUAGCCGAACCCUUUACUUAUGCACUUUACUUUGUGAUAGCCAUAUUGUUUCUUGUCAUAUAUCUUGCUAUCACUUAGUUGUUUAUCUUGCUUAGCAUAAGUUGUUGGUGCACAUAGUUGAGCCUAGUUGUUUUAGGUUUUGUGCUUGACAAAUGAAACGUAGUUUUAUUCCGCAUUUGUUCAAGCCUAAACCAUAAUUAUUUUAAAGCGCCUAUUCACCCCCCCCCCUCUAGGCUACAUCCACGUCCUUUCAAUUGGUAUCAGAGCUAGGUCUCUCUUUAUUAGGUUCAACCACCCAGAGAGUAAGGAUGUCGACUAGGGGUUUAGGAUUCAUUGACACUCUUAAUUUCGAUGGCACAAAUUUUGAUGUUUGGGUUAUUCGCAUGCUUAAUUACUUUUGGGUCUUGGAUCAAAUUUAGAGCGAAUUGUAGAUAUGGGUUUUUCUCCUCCAAAGGAUUCACAAAAUAUAUCUUUAGAGGAUGAGAAAAACUCUUAUCUCGAUGCUCAAGCUUCUAAUGUACUUAUUGAUGCUUUGAGCAAUGUAGUUAUAUUUCAACUCAUGCCAUUCCGGGAUGCUCAUGAGUUGUGGACAAAGCUUCAAGAUAAAUAUGGUGCGUCCAAGAUUUGUGGGAAUGAUUGUUCUCCCUCCACCUCCGGUCGUGUGGUCUUCUCAACUUCAUCUAUUUCACCUACAUCUGGAUUGCCAUAAGGUAAUGAUAUGGUGAGUAGUGGAGAUCAUUGCAACAAUGAUAGUGGGCUUAUUGUUGAUGAUCAUUCAUCACUAUAUUAUUGCAAUGCUUCAUCUUUGGACGCUAACACUUUGAGCACUCUAAAUGUUUUACAUGCUUGUGUUGAUAGUCCGUGCAUAUCAUGUAAAAACUGCUUGACUAAAUCUCAUGAUGAUAUGCUUUCUAUAUUUUGUUGCCAUGAUAAAAAUGUAUCUAUUUUCUCGAGUUGUUGUGCUAACAAUGUAGAGGAAAUCCAUCACUCCAUGGAACAAGAUGUGGCCUUAAAUUAUGCUUCAAGGGAUCCCACAUCAUCAUCUGUUGUUUCUCACUUUUUCCUUAUGGCUAAGGCUUCAAAGGUAUAUCCUACUUUGAAUCCCAAUAAAUCUCGUGAUGAUGAUGUUGAUGAUAAUAAGGAUGAGGAUAAACAUGAAGAGAGUGAUGAUAUUGCAUCCUUAAAAAUUAAGGGUGAUAUGAUUUUUAAAUUUCUUUAUAAGAAUAAACUUGCUUGUUCCAACUUCAUGGAAAUCAUGUCUAUUGCCACUAAGGGCAAGAAAUAUAUUCAGGAUUUGGAAGCUCAUCUUGAUUUGCAUGAGGUCACCAUUGAGAGAAUGGAAGGUCAUGAGCAUGAUUACGCUAAUGAGAUUGCGGAGCUAUCUCAAGCUCUUGAAAAUGAACAAACCACCAAGGAAUCUCUUGAGGAGACCUUUGCUCUCAAAUUAUCUAGAUUAAAGGUAUCUCAUGAUAGAGCUCUCGAGGUGGCUAAUGAUUUUAGAACUAAAAUGAUAAGAUUGAAGUUUCACAUGCCAAACCCCGUGAGAACUAUGAGCACCUCGAAAAUGGCUCAAGGGCUAUUAAGAGUUCGCUCAUCGAACUCACCGAGUCUCAUGCUCAACUUGAAGCUUCAUAUGCUAAAGAGCUUGCCAAUUUGCCUUAUCCUCUUAUUGCUAAUGAUGAUGCUUGUUCUAGCAACUCUACUUCUUGUGAAGCAUCCAUUUUAAAGGAGAAUGUUGAGCUAAGGGCUCAACUUGAGUUGCUAUCUAGCAAUUAUGGGAAAUUGGAAGAAAGUCAUGUAAUGCUCACAAGCCCUCAUGAUGAUCUUAUAGCAUCCCAAAUGUGCUAAAAUUAGCUCAUGAGACUAUUACUACCAAGGUAACAUCAAGUGAGCCUCAUGUGGACAAUGGCACUACUUCUAGUCAAAAUGCUAUAUUGUCAUGUGCUAGUCCUCGUAAUUCUUCUACUCAUAAUGUUGCUACCUCUUGUGAUGAAUUACUUUCCUUGCCUUGUUGUUCUAACAAUGAAGCUUAUACUUCCCCUAGUACUUGUGUUGAUACUAACCAUGUAGAGGAAAUCGAAGAGCUCAAGGCCCAAGUCACUUCUUUGAAGAAAGACUUGGAAAAGAGUUAUGAAGGGAUGUCCACACUCAACAAUGUCUUGUGUGGGAAAAAAAUCCACAAAUGACAAAGAUGGACUUGGAUUGAACUCCAACAAGAAUAAGAAGUCCAAAAACUUCAAUAAGAAGGGCCAAGAACAAGUCAAGAAUUUGGCCAAGAUUAUUUGCUUCAAGUGCAAAAUUUAAGGGCACCAUGUUAGAUCUUGCCCACUAAAAAGAAGCCCCAAAGUCACAAGCAACAAGGGAAGCGGCCACAAGUUCAAUCACAUACUCAACUACAAGUUGAAGAAAGGCCUCUUCCCAAGAAGACCCAAGCCAACACUCCUCAUGUUGAGAAAUCAAUAGGGAAGAAAUUAAAGGGUAGAUGUUGCUACUUAUGUUGUGAGAACGGUCACUUCGCUUCUUCUUGCACGAGAGGUAAUUUAUCCAACCCAAUCAUUAUUGAUGAUAUCUAUUCUCUUGGUAAGGAUAAGGUUAACAAUGUGUUUGCCAAGUUUGUUAGUACUCAAAGUGGUGUCAAGAAAAGUACCAUUUUGGUUGCCAAACCUAAUGUAGCGACCCGACUCAAAAUGAGUCAAGCCUCUGUGUUUNCUAAACAUAUACGUAAACAGGAGAAAAUAGAAAAAAAAGAGAAGAAGGGCCGCAUGGGCAAAAAACUUUGGCCAACCGCAUGAGCACUUACGGCCAGCCGUGGCCUUUGUUUUUUUUUCGAACGAACAAUAUUUUUAUUUUAAAACAAAGAAGAAAAACGUAUAAAUGAAAAAGAGAGAACAUUUUAUAUAGACAUAUUAUAUAUCAAAAUUUUCAGAAUAAAAUUUUCUAAAACAUGAACAUAUUUUCAAAACCAAAAAAUAUUUUUUUGCAAUAACUUUAAAAUGAAAAGGAAUUUGAAUUUCAAAUAAAUUGCAAAUACUUAAAAUUUGAAUCAAGACAUUGUCUCUGAUUUUGGAGGGUCAUUUUCCUCCUCUCGUUUGAUUUUUUUUAAUCAAAGGGUUUUGAAAAUAUUCAAAAUCAAAAUCGAAAAGGGAUUCAAAAUAGAAAAUUUUGGGAAAGUCAUUUUAUUCCCUCUCAUUUUUUUGAGAAGUUUCAAAUUCCACUCAAGUUUCAAUCACUCAAACAAACAAACAAUCAAUCUAAUAAUUAUAUUAACAUUCCAAAAUUUAUAAUUUUGGGAUGUUACAAACUACCACACUUAAAAUGAAUCUCGUCCUCGAGAUUCGAAGAGGCUAGAAAGAAAAGGUUAUGGUUUGGGGGGGUCCUCUAACAAAUAUAGUCUCCUACAAAGUGGGGUGCUACCACACUUAAAAUGAGAGUUACUGGUCGCUCAAAUUUUUAACAAUCCUUUGGGGUCUUGGCAUCUCGCUCGUCACAUUCUUCAUGGUAACUUCUUUGGUGAAGUUCUUCCAUUAUAUUCAUAAUGUUUCCAUCAAAAUCGAGGGUUCUUCUAUUGAUAUAAGAUUCUUUCGUCACUGGGUCUUCUUAACUGACAAGUCUCGUGACCAUUCUAAAUAACCUAUCGAUGAUUUCUCAUGGUGGUCUGCCAUUUCUGGUUAUCCUGCAGAGAGAAGGGUCUUGGCUUCACCCUCACCGUAAAAUGUGCGACGUGUGACAACGAUUGCCAUGCACAUGGGGCUUUCAUCAUACCAUUCUAAGGCUUAAACAAAAGCUUCAAAGAACGUCGUCUCUCACUAUGGAUAAGUCUCUCAGAUUUACCAUUCUGAAUAGCAAGAGAAUGAUAAUAGUAAGUCGUCAUGGUGGCCAAGCCAUGUCGCACUGAAAUCAUUACCUUGUAUAAGGCUUAGUGAAUCUCGUAUUCUAACACUUGGACAUCCUCACAAGCAUUGCAGAGUUUCUCUUGUCCACGAACGAAGUUCGGAUAAAUCCAAUGAUUCUGCAAGCUGAACAAACAUCUAUCGUUUCUUCACAACUCUCAGGUUUUCGUAUGCUCCUAAGAAAACGUUUGCUGAAACAAGUUUCCUUCUCCAAAAAGAUAGUACUUGAUCCUUGUUAGUCCCGGGGUCUGUGGGUUUCAGGCAUACUUGGGGUAAAUGUGACACGCCGCUGGGUAGUGGGUGGUUCCUUCACACAAGAAACAAGUCACCUGACUAGUUGGGCAUUCCUCAGCUGGGUGAUUUUCUUCACAAUGAGUGCAUCCAUCCUUGUGUUCUUCCUGGGUGUGUCCUAUUUCUCCAUAGAUCUUGCAUGCAUAAGUCUUCUCCUUCAGAUUUUCAUAGUACUUCUGAAUAAGUCAGGAUCUUAACAAAGUCUUCUUGAAUUCGUCCCAGGUUUCUGCUCCACUAAAUCCUUGUAUGGCAUGAUGCAUUUUCCACCAGAUUGCAGCACUCUGGGUAAAGUACUGGAGAGCGUGUUCCACUUCAUACUUCCUUGGGAUCAAGUUGCUCCCGACGUGGUUCUCCAUGUUCUGAAUCCAUAUUUCAGCCUCCGGCUGGGUCAUUGGUCCAGAGACUACAAGUCCAGCUUCAUACUCCAUCUGGUAGGGUUGAGGUUUUGGGGAUGAGACGGGUAAGAGAGGGAGGGAGAUACACACAAUACAAACAAUAUUUUUGAGAAUAUGUUUUAGUUGUGGCCGUCGGAAAACACACACCAAUGACGGCUCACAAAUCAUCGUAACUAACAUGGGUAUAUAAUUGGGGUUUGGACUUCUAAUGGUCAUAGAAAUAUUCGAACGCUUCAGGGUCUUCGAAUUCUUCGGGUCUUGAGAGUCUUCAAUUGGUGUAGCUUCAAUUCUUCAAACGCGUGGUGAAAUCCUCUUUACUUUGAAGUAGAACUCCGUUGAUUCUUCAUGAGGUCGAAGGGGUAAGGGUAUUGUAUAACUAUUUGAGGUGAGAGAGAACAUUUGAUGAAAUCAGAAGAGAUGAGAAGUGAAAGGAGUUCUUGAAAAUAAAGUUUUUUUUUUGAGAGAUCCUUUCCUAAGAAAUUUCCAGUUUCUAGGGUCACGUCCUACAGUCAACAUGUGCUCUGAUACCAUUUCUGUAGCGACCCGACUCAAAACGAGUCAAGCCUCUGUGUUUCUGUGCCAUCCCUGGAUCAGUAUGCUGGCACACACAGUACAUCAAUGUAUAUAUCAAAGUGCAAUCACAUGUAAAAUAGCGUAAAACUGAUAUAUACCUUAAAUAUUUCAGCGGAAGCAGUCAAGGGAGUGGAGUCCCAAUAAACACCAACGGCAAGUUGAGUGUAGACCAUAACCCUGAAUCGUACUCUUACCCGUCGAAGAAAAUAUCUGCAACAUAAGACGUUGCAGCCGUGUAGGUCAGCAUAUUGAAUAUGCCCGCAAGUCAUCAAAGAGAGGAGUAAAAUAAUAAUCAACUAUCUCUACAUGCAUAUUUGGCCGGUGGGGCUAAGUUUUGCAUAAAGCCAGUUUUAUCCUACAACAAGAGGGGUUGGAAGCAAAAUAUUACUACAUUGUUUGUUGUUAACAAGAUGGUUCCGCCAACCAAUUCUCGUACCCGAAUAGUUGUUAACACCCACAUCAUUAUUAAGUUGUGUCGAGAGUUCAGGGGAAAUUCAAUGCCUUCGGCUCAAGUUUUCCAUGACCGUGGACACGGCUAAUCGAUUAGGUUGGGCACUCUGCAGAGUUUUGCACACGUUCCCCACAAGAUUUGAUCGCCUCCGGGUUUGUCCUCGCACUUCAGGGUGUUUGAAGACCGGAAGAUCAAAACAUGGUCUUUCAACGGGUCCCUCUGAAUCCCUGUCGGUGCCCAUCCAUUCCUACGGUUCUUCUACAUCUGCUAGCACCGCCUGUCCAGAGUCGCCGCGUUGUCCAACCAAGCCAGAGCCCAUAAUAACUUGUGGCUGUGCAGGUAAGCCUUGAGUCUUGCAAAUAUCCGUCCGUCUCUUUGAGCCUGGGUGAAGCUUUCCGCAGGAUGUCAUGGCCUCUCCAGCAUCCCGGGUCAUCCACUGGGUUCUCCAGGGAGCCGAUCAACCGUCCUUCACCCAGAGUUGCAUUGCGUCCGAGGUCUUGAAAAUCUUGUCUUAACCGGUCUUGAUUAUUUAAUCAACCUCGCAUCACUCGUGUUAUGCACUCAACCGAAAUUCCGUCUACUCAAGCAUAGCAAUAUGAAAUUUGUCGUCCCGGGGCCAAGUAUCGGGGUUGUUGUGUGCCUACCACAUGAUACUACAAUCUAUACUAAAAAUUUCCAAGUACCUAAGCAGCAUGCAAUUGGGCAUAGGAUGGUAGAACUACGAUGCAUAAAACAUAGGUGAUAGUAUGAUCAAAAUGACUUGCCUGGUAUUACUUGAUGAAGAUAGUCGCUCUCAAAAUCCUGAUAAUUCUACUCGCCACACUCCGAGCAAUCUAUUGUAAACGAAUAGCAUUCAAUAAACAUUCAUGCCAAAAAGGAAGAACCAAAAGAACAUAAGAACAAAACAUGUCUUUGUGCAAAAUAACAACAUACUAAGGUUUAAUAAAAAAAAAGGUUCUAAGUGUGUUGUAAAGUGAAGGUGCAUGAAUGAGAUCAAAAGAGUUAAUGGACGAUGAACUAUUGCUAUAUAAGCUCGACCUGCAUACACUAUGGGAGAUGAUCAAAAAUAUUGGAAGAACAACAUGAAUGUUGUUUGACAAAUAGUAUAAGACAUAAGAAUUUAUUUGUAGAAAGAAUUUCUUGAAAUGGAGCACUACAACGCAAGUUAUAGCGAAUUGAAGUAUGAAUUGAAUUUGCAUUCAAAAGGUCAAGAGAAGUUGAACUGAAGUACGAUGGUUACGUACAAAAAUAUAUGACAUGAGUGUUUAGGGGUAAAAGGAAUCAAUUGAAAAGGUGGUACGAUUUGCAAGAUAAGAUCAAAUGAAUGUUUGAAUACAAAUUUGAAUCGCUCAAAUUUGUAAGGUUCAAAGGUCAAAACUAAUGAUGCUACUGGAUAUAGGAGAUCAAUAUGAGCGUGUAGAAAAAAGAAUUACUAGAUUUGAACUAGCGGAUCAAAAGAUACAAAUACGUCAAUAUAACAUUGAAUCGGCUUACAAUGAUGUGAACACUUUUGGGCACUAAUAGAUAAAUCUGAUUUGAUCAAAAUUAUAAGUUGAAAAGUUAAAACUAAUGAUACAAACGGAAAGAUUACUUUGAUACGAAUCCGACACAAUUGAAUUCAUCUAAAACGGAGCUACGGAUAAAAAGAUAUGAUCAAAAGAAGUUUGAAUAUGAAUAUGAGCAAAUUUCAAAAUUUGAAAAUUUCAAAAAAAGUUGAUAUGAUAGGUUCAUCGGAUAGGUGGGAUCAAGACGAAACUCUAGGCGUUGGUUUCAUCUAAUUCGGAUAAACGAGUAAAAAGUUAUGGCUAUUUGAAAAAUCAGGACCAAGCUGUUUUACGAAAGAAAAGUGCUAUGUCUAAAAGAAUUCUAGUACUAAUGUGUAAAUACAAAGACUAAUUAAUAUAUCUAAUUACUCUACCGUGUACUAGUGUAGGAAUACUAGUCUAGAAAUAAUAAACUACGGAAGUAUAAAAAAAAUACGAAGAGAAAUACCUUUAGAAUGCAGAGUAAGAAUUAAUUCCAAUGAGGAGACGACUUCGAGAAAUCCCGCCGAAGAGAAGAAAAAAAUAUUUUUAUUUAAUAAAUCUAGUUAAACCAAAAGAUUGAUUUAACCCGAAAUAGAUGAUUUUUGUAUGCUCCUAUGGAUCUAUAUUUAUAGGUGGAAGGGAGGUCUAAUGGUCCAUAGAUAGGCAAUGUGGGACUAAACAUAUACGUAAAGAGGAGAAAAUAGAAAAAAGAGAGAAGAAGGGCCGCAUGGGCAAAAAACUUUGGCCACCCGCAUGAGCACUUACGGCCAGCCGUGGCCUUUGUUUUUUUUUUUCAAACGAACAAAAAAAAAAUUAAAAACAAAGAAGAAAAACGUAUAAAUGAAAAAGAGAGAACAUUUUAUAUAGACAUAUUAUAUAUCAAAAAAUUUAGAAUAAAAUUUUCUAAAACAUGAACAUAUUUUCAAAACCAAAAAAAUACUUUUAAAAAAAAUUAUUUUUUUGCAAUAACUUUAAAAUGAAAAGGAAUUUGAAUUUCAAAUAAAUUGCAAAUACUUAAAAUUUGAAUCAAGACAUUGUCUCUGAUUUUGGAGGGUCAUUUUCCUCCUCUCGUUUGAUUUUUUUUAAUCAAAGGGUUUUGAAAAUAUUCAAAAUCAAAAUCGAAAAGGGAUUCAAAAUAGAAAAUUUUGGGAAAGUCAUUUUAUUCCCUCUCAUUUUUUUGAGAAGUUUCAAAUUCCACUCAAGUUUCAAUCACUCAAACAAACAAACAAUCAAUCUAAUAAUUAUAUUAACAUUCCAAAAUUUAUAAUUUUGGGAUGUUACACCUAAUGUGACUAACCUCGAGCCAACGUGGUUGGGGACCAACAAGCUCAAACUUGAUCAAUAGGUGAUUGUGGAGGACAUUGGAGAAUUGGAUACAUAAUGAAGAAUUAAGGGGUCUUCAUCAUUCAUAUUAUCUCAAGCCAAGUCAUUUGGAUUAUCGAGUUUCUAUCUUAUAUUCAAUGUGCCUCCUUACAGAACAAUUGGAGAUGCAUUGGAUGGUCGGAUCACCUACAAGGAAGGUGUUGACACCGUGUUCUUAAUGAAGCCAAGUUAGUAUGAUCAACGAACAACCAUCUACUACAUCAAUCCAAUGAUGUCUCGAUAACAAGUAUCUACUUCAUGCAUACAUUCCUUGCAAGGCCCGAACAUAUCUUAUCUUGGCCGAGCGAUACUACCGUGGGUAGCCACGGUACUACCGAUGGAGAUGUGUUACUGCUGCACUCAUGCAGUAGCAGCACCGACACGGUACUACAGCAUCCAGCACGGCAGUAUUUUGCUGCUGCCGCUGGAUGAACGGUACUACCGCCCAGCGAGCGGGAAUAAAAUUUUACAACCGCUGGCCAAGUGGUACUACCGUGAUGACGUGCAGUACUACCGCGCCGUCGGGACCGCGAGUGGUUAUACCCUCCUCUCGUAGUUCUGUCUCUCUCUCCAGGUUUCAUCUUGGCAUGAAUCUCUUGAUUCAUUCGUGUGGUACUUGUUUCCUUUCUCAAAGCAUCCAAACGAUGAUGUCUUAUUUCAAGUUGGGAUGUCUUUGAUAUUCGUAUGUUGGAAGUUCAUAUUGUACAAUAUGAAAAUAUUAGGCCAUGUGCUAUGCUUCCAAGCAAAGACCUUAUUGAUAUAUUUAUGACUUUCUUUUGGAUAUCUUGUUUGUUCCUUCUUGUAACCAUUUAGUGUGUACAUCCUUGUUUGUGGAUAUAUAUCAUCAUGAUUGUAUUCUACCUAGAAUCUUUUACACAUGAGAGAAGUUACAUCUCUAAUUGAUAUCCUCUUUUCUCUCACGUCCACCGUUGCAUUUCCUUUUUCCUUUUUUGGUGGCUUUGUGAAAGGAUUUGUCUUGAGUGUGUAUCUUAUAUUCUUGCAUCUUGAUGCACUCUUUGGUGGUGAAGAUUAUUUUUCCUCAUGCUUGUCUUGAUGAGGGUUUUUCCAUUUCGAUUGGUAUCCCUCCUCUUGACAAGGUUAUUACUUCCUAUCUUCACCAUGGGUUGUCACAAGCGUUGGUUCUCAAUUUGUUUUUUAGCAAGCUUGUGAACCCAUUUUCUAGUAGUGUGUGUGUGGGAAGGAUAUGUCUUGCACUUUGUUUCUCAUUUCAUCAAGACUAUGUUGAUGAGUAAUGCUCAUCCUUAUCUUAAUCCUCUCAAGUGCUUUGCCAUGACUCACACACAUUAUUUUGGUUGAGCCUAUCUUAAGUUGUUUCUUUUACAUGUUGCUCAACCAUUUGUUUUGUGCAAGUGAUAUGCUUAUUGUCUCAUCUAUCUUCUUUCACUCGUUGUGUGUUUUUAUUAAUUUUGGGGGAGCAACGAUCCUAUUUUGUGCAGUUGUAUCAAAUACAAAAAUCUCAUAUUGGUGCACAAAUCAUGGGGAGCUUCUCUAGUUUUGAUAAAACACUCCUUUGCCUUUAUCAUAAUAUCUUUUAUUCAUGUCGUUCGAAGGACCAUGUGACUUUUUGUUCCAUAUGGUAUCUUUUGAUUGCUUGCUUCUAUUUUGUAUGUCUUUGUGCCAUACGAUCCUUCUUUUAGCAAUCUUUGGGUCCUCAAUAUAGUUUGUUUUCCUCCAACUACUUAUCAUUGUAUUUGUGUAUUUCUUCGCACCCAUUUGUUGAGAAGUACACACUUUUUGGAGGACCACCUACUAUAUUGGCUUUCUAAACUUUUUGUCCAUUUUGGCAAUCGAUGCCAAUGGGGGAGAAGUUUAGAGAGUUUACUUUGGAUAUGUUUAGAGGGUUUUGCUUUUAUUGUGUAAGAAUUUACAUCUUGCAUUAUUGCUUUGUAUGUGUGUGCUUGGUUAUACUUAUUUCCUUAUAUAAACUCUCUUGAAGUGGUUGUCAUCAAUUACCAAAAUGGGGGAGAUUGUUAGAGCAUAUUUCUCCAUAUGUGGUUUUAGUAAUUGAUGGCAAUCCCUAUGGACUAAUGGUUGCCUUAAGUUAUAUUCAAAGGAUUUGUCCAUAGGCACUUCUUGAAUUCCAUCUGUUGGUGUCAAGGAGUUUAUAUGAUGACCAAGGUGGUAUUCAAGGUAUUAUCCAAAUAUUGGUCAUAAAUACACAAGGUUGAUCAAGACUAAGCAAAGAAUAAAUCAAGAUGAUCAUUGAUACGUCUCCAACGUAUCUAUAAUUUUUGAUGGUUUCAUGCUAUUAUCUUGUCAAACUUUGGAUGUUUUGUAUGACUUUUAUAUAUUUUUUGUGACUAACUUAUUAACUCGGUGCCAAGUGCCAGUUCCUGUUUUUCCAUGUUUUUGACCCCUUUCAGAGGAGAUUUUGAAACGGAGUCUAAACGGAAGAAAAUCCCCGAAAAGAUUUUUUCUGGAAUGGAAGAAGAUUGGGAAGCUUGGGAGCCAAGGCAGGGGAGCCUCAAGGGACCCACAAACCCCCACCCCGCGACCAGGGGGAGGAAGUGCCAUCCAAGCUUGUAGGCCCCGUGAGCGCCCCCUGACCUAGGGGUUGCGCCUAUAUAUUCCCUAAAAAUCCCAAAAAAAUCAGGAGAACAUCGAAAGUACUUUUCCGCCGCCGCAAGCUUCUGUCUCCGCAAGAUACCAUCUGGGGCACGUUUUGGUGCCCUACCGGAGGGGAUAUUCGGACACGGAGGGCUUCUUCAUCAACACCAUGACCUCUCCGAUGAUGCCUGAGUAGUUCACCAUAGACCUAUGGGUCCAUAGCUAGUAACUAGAUGGCUACUUCUCUCUCUUGGAUCUUCAAUACAAAGUUCCCCAUGAUCUUCAUGGAGAUCUAUCCGAUGUAAUCUUCUUUUGCGGUGUGUUUGUNGCGCGGUUCUAUCAACUGCUCGACAGUAAUUUGUUCACCCACCGUAAUACUUGCUAUUUUGAGAGAAGCCUCUAGUGAACACUAUGGCCCCCAGGGUCUACUCCACACCAUAUUUUUAGCCUUACACUUUUUACUUCGUUGCACUUUCCGCCUUCACAUCUCACUUUGCAAACAAUCUUGAAGGGAUUGACAACCCCUUUAAAGCGUUGGGUGCAAGCUUGUUUGUGUUUGCGCAGGUACUCUGAACUUGACGAGACCCUCCUUAUGGAUUGAUACCUUGGUUCUCAAAGUGAGGGAAAUACUUACUGCUCCUGUGCUGCAUCACCCUUUUUUCUUCAAGGGAAAAACCGACGCAAACCAGAGAAGUAACAAGAAGAAUUCCUAAGCGCCAAGGAAGGACUUUUGUUGCCGUAGCAGAAGAAUUUCUGGCACCAUUGCCGGGGAGGAAGAUCAAGUCAAAGACUUAUCCAAGUAGGUGUCGCAAACUCAUCUCUUGCAUUUACUUUGUUUGGCACUUGCCUCUCGUUUUCCUCUCCCCCACUUCACCAAUUUGCCUUUUUCGUUCGCCUUUUCGUUCGCCCUUUUUCUCGCCUGCUCUUUGUUUGCAUGUGUGCUUGCUUGCUGAAGUCACCAUGAACAAAAACACAAAACUUUGUGACUUCUCGAAUACUAAUAAUAAUGAUUUUAUUAGUACUCCGAUUGCUCCCGCCACUAGUGCGGAGUCAUACGAAAUCAAUGCCGCUUUGCUGAAUCUUGUUACGAAAGAGCAAUUCUCUCGCCUUCCUAGUGAAGAUGUCGCAUCCCAUCUCAAUACCUUCAUUGAGCUUUGCGAUAUGCAAAAGAAAAAAGAUGUGGAUAAUGACGUGAUUAAAUUGAAGCUUUUUCCUUUCUCGUUGCGAGAUCGCGCAAAAACUUGGUUUUCUUCUUUGCCCAAAAAUAGUAUCGAUUCUUGGGAUAAGUGCAAAGAUGCUUAUAUAUCCAAGUAUUUUCCGCCGGCUAAGAUUAUCUCUCUCCGUAAUGAUAUCAUGAAUUUCAAGCAACUUGAUCAUGAACAUGUUGCACAAUCUUGGGAGAGAAUGAAAUUAAUGAUUUGAAAUUGUCCCGCUCAUGGCUUGGGCCUUUGGAUGAUUAUUCAAAUCUUUUACGCUGGCUUGAAUUUCGCUUCUAGAAAUAUCUUGGACUCCGCUUCAGGUGGAACGUUCAUGGAAAUCACAUUAGGAGAAGCCACAAAACUCUUAGACAAGAUCAUGACAAACUACUCUCAGUGGCACACUGAAAGGUCACCUACUAGUAAGAAGGUACACGCUAUAGAAGAAAUUAACUCGUUGAGUGCUAAGAUGGAUGAGUUGAUGAAUUUGAUUGCUAGUAGAAGUGCUCCUUUAGAUCCUAAUGAUAUGCCCUAGUCUUCUUUGAUUGAGAGUAGCAACGCUAGCUUGGACGUUAAUUUUGUUGGUAGGAAUAACUUUGGAAACAACAAUGCUUUUAGAGGAAACUAUGUUCCUAGGCCUUUUCCUAGUAACUCCUCUAAUAAUUUUGGCAACUCCUACAACAAUACUCAUGGAAAUUAUAAUAGAUUACCCUCUGAUCUAGAGAGUAAUAUCAAAGAGUUCAUCAACUUGGAAAAAAAUUCAAUGCGUCCAUAGAGGAAAAGCUACUCAAAAUUGACGAUUUGGCUAAGAGCGUUGAUAGAAUGUCUAGUGAUGUUGAUGCUUUGAAAGUUAGAUGUGCUCCUCCCAAAAUCAACAUGGAUGAAACUUUGAAAGUUAUGUGUGUUUCCAUGGUUAAAAGCCAAGAAAGAACCGCCCAAAUUCGUGCUAGACAUGAAUGACUUAAAAAGGUGUGUUCUUGUGAUGAGAAUCACAAAGAUCUUAAAGUGCUUGGUGUGACUCCUAUUGAAUCUUUGUUUUCUUGUGUCAAACCUAAUGAUUAUGGGGCUGGAUAUGAAUCCACUUUGGUUGAAAAGUGCCCCAAAGAUUCAGAGUCCAUCUAUCUUGAUGCUAAAAGCAUUAAAAGUGGAGUAGAAGAUGUUAAAACUUUGAGUAGUAAUGAAAUUACUACUGUGGAUUUCAAGGAAUUCAAUUAUGAUAGUUGCUCCUUGAUUGAAUGCAUUUCUUUGAUGCAAUUCAUGUUAAACUCUCCACACGCUUAUGGCCAAAACAAAGCCUUUACCGAUCAUAUCGUCGAAGCCAUGAUAAAAUCUCUUGAAGGGAAACUUGAAUUGGAAGUCUCUAUCCCUAGAAAGCUUCAUGAUGAGUGGGAACCUACCAUCAAAAUCAAAAUCAAAAACUAUGAAUGCAAUGCUUCGUGUGAUUUGGGUGCUAGUGUUUCUGCGAUUCCAAAGGCUUUAUGUGAUGUUCUGGGUUUUAAUGAGAUUGAAGAGUGUUCUCUUAAUUUGCAUCUUGCUGAUUCUACUGUCAAGAAACCCAUGGGAAGGAUCAAUGAUGUUCCUAUUAUUGCAAAUAGGAACUAUGUACCCGUGGAUUUCAUUGUGCUUGACAUUGAUUGCAAUCCUACAUGCCCUAUUAUUCUUGGUAGACCUUUUCUAAGGACUAUCGGUGUUAUCAUCGAUAUGAAGGAAGGGAAUAUUAGAUUUCAAUUUCCUUUAAGGAAGGGCAUGGAACACUUUCCUAGAAAGAAAAUAAGAUUGCCUUAUGAAUACAUGAUGAGGGCCACUUAUGGUUUGAGCACCAAAGACAACGAUAUGUGAUUCUAUCGCUUUUAUGCCUAGCUAAGGGCGCUAAACAAUAGCGCUUGUUGGGAGGCAACCCAAUGAAUUUAUCUUUUUCUUUCUGUUUUGUUGCGUCCACACUUUCAUAAUUCUGUUGUGAUUGUGUUUUUUGUGUUUGAGCCAAGCAAAGCAUUUAUGACUAGUCUAGGUAAUGGUUGUUUGAUCCUGCUGGAAAAGACAGAAACUUUUCGAUCACGAGAUGAUUUUUCAUUUUUAUUCAGAAAUAGCUUUUUAGUUGAUUCUUUUUGCUUCUGAUUGAUAUGCUUUUUUCCAGGCCGUCGUAAUGUUUCAGAUUUUUUGAGGUAACAGAAGUAUACGAAGUAUACAGAUUGCUACAGACUGGUCUGUUUUUGUUGAGUUGGUUGCUUAUUUUGAUGAAACUAUUUUUAGUAUCGGGGGGUACUAGCCAUGGAAAAGUGAGAAUACAGUAGCCCAACACCAAUAUAGAUAGAAUUCAAGUUUGCUACAGUACAAAAAGAAGUGGUAGUUUGUUUUCUUGUGCUAAUGUUAUCACGAGUUUCUGUUUAAGUUUUGUGUUGUGAAGUUUUCAAGUUUUGGGUGAUGUUCUCAUGGACGAUGAGAUAAGGAGUGGAAAGAGCUCAAGCUUGGGGAUGCCCAAGGCAUAUCAAGCCAAAUUCAAGGACACCAAAAAGCCUAAGCUUGGGGAUGCCCCGGGAAGGCAUCCCCUCUUUCGUCUUCAAUCCAUCGGUAACAUUACUUGGAGCUAUAUUUUUAUUCACCACAUGAUAUGUGUUUUUCUUGGAGCGUCUUGUAUCUUAGGAGUCUUUCUUUUUGUUUUGUCACAAUCAUCCUUGCUGCACACCUUAUUGAGAGAGAGAGACAUGCACUCAUCGUGAUUUUGCUAGAAUGCUCAUAGUGCUUCACUUAUAUCUUUUGAGCUAGAUAUUUUUGCUCUGGUGCUUCACUUAUAUCUUUUGAGCUAGAUACUUUUGCUCUUGUGCUUCACUUAUAUCUUUAGAGAGCGGCGGUGCAUGAUUUGGUAGUUGGCUUAUGCUAUGAAAGUAGUCCCAAAUGUGAUAGGUACCCAAAGAGGAUACAAAAACCUCCAUCUUCAUGUGCAUUGAAUAGAAAGAGAAGUUUUGAUUCCUCUCAAUUAGUUUUGAGAUGUGGAUUCGGUAAUAUUAAGAGCUAUGUUAGUAGGGUGUUGUGAAUCUAGAAGUACUUGUGUUGAAGUUGGCAAUUCCCGUAGCAUGCACGUAUGGUGAACAGCUAUGUUAAGAAGUCGGAGCAUAAUUGAUAUAUUGAUUGUCAUCCUUUGUGUUGAGGUCGAGAUCGCGCGAUGGUUAACACCUACCAACCCUUCCCCUCGGAGUAGGUAUUUAGCACUUUGUUUCGAUUACUAAUAAAAACUUUCGCAACAAGUAUGUGACUUCUUCAUGACUAAUGUGAGUCCAUGGUAUAGAUGCACUUUCACCUUCCACCAUUGCUAGCCUCUCUAGUGCCGCGCAAUUCUCGCCGGUGCACAAACCCACCAUAUGCCUUCCUCAAAACAUCCACCAUACCUACCUACUAUGGCAUUUUCAUAGCCAUUCCGAGAUAUAAUGCCAUGCAACUCCCACCGUUCCGUCUCAUGACUUGUGCCAUCACUCUCAUAUUGUCAUUGCAUGAUUGUAAGAUAGCUAGCGACAUGUUUCAACGUCAUACGCCAUGCUAGAUCGUUGCGCAUCCCGGUACACUGCCGGAGGCAUUUCCUAUAGAGUCAUCAUCAUUUUGAGCUGUGAGUAAAUAAAAGUGUGAUGAUCAUCAUUAUUAGAGCAUUGUCCCAUGUGAGUAAAUAAAAAAAGAGGCCAAAGAGCCCAAAAAAAAGAGGUCUAAGAGCCCAAAUAAAAAAAGAGAAAAAGAGAGAAGGGACAAUGCUACUAUCUUUUUCCACACUUGUGCUUCAUGAUAGCACCAUGUUCUUCAUGAUUGAGAGCUUCUUACUUUGUCACUACCGCAUGCUAGUGGUAAUCUUCAUUAUAUAACUUGGCUUGUAUAUUCCAAUGAUGGGCUUCCUCAAAAUUGCCCUAGGUCUUCGUGAGCAAGCAAGUUGGUUGCACACCCACUAGUUCUACUUUUGAGCUUUCACAUACUUAUAGCUCUAGUGCAUCUCUUGUAUGGCAAUCCCUACUCAUUCACACUGAUAUCUAUUAAUGGGCAUCUCCAUAGCCUUUUGAUACGCCGAGUCAAUGAGACCACCUCCUCCUUUUUUGUCUCACAAACACAACCACACUCUAUUCCACCUAUAGUUCUAUAUCCAUGGCUCGCGCUCAUGUAUUGUGUGAUAGUUAUAAAAAAAUUAGAAAGUAAGAGUGCGAAAACAAUUACUUGGUUAAUACCGGGGUUGUGCAUGAUUUACACUAGUUGUGUGAGGAUGAUGGAGCAUAGCCAGACUAUAUGAUUUUGUAGGGGUAACUUUCAUUGGCCUUGUUAUUUUGAAAGUUCAUGAUUACCUUGCUAGUUUGCUUGAAGUAUUACUGUUUUCAUGUCAAUAGCAAACUAUUGUUUCGAAUCUUACGGAUCUGAACAUUCAUGCCACAUGAAAGAAGUUGCAAAGGAGAACUAUGAGAGGUAGCAUUCCACAUCAAAAAUUCAUUCUUUAUCACUUCCCUACUCGAGGACGAGCAGGAGUUAAGCUUGGGGAUGCUUGAUACGUCUCCAACGUAUCUAUAAUUUUUGAUGGUUUCAUGCUAUUAUCUUGUCAAACUUUGGAUGUUUUGUAUGCCUUUUAUAUAUUUUUUGGGACAAACUUAUUAACUCAGUGCCAAGUGCCAGUUCCUAUUUUUCCCAUGUUUUUGACACCUUUCAGAGGAGAUUUUGAAACAUAGUCCAAACGAAGAAAAUCCUCGAAAUGAUUUUUUUUGGAAUGGAAGAAGAUCGGGAAGCUUGGGAGCCAAGGCAGGGGAGCCUCAGGGGACCCACAAGCCCCCACCCCGCGACCAGGGGGAGGCCGCGCCAUCCAGGCUUGUGGGCCCCAUCAGCGCCCCCUGACCUAGGGGUUGCGCCUAUAUAUUCCCUAAAAAUCCCAAAAAAAUCAGGAGAUCAUCGAAAGUACUUUUCCGCCGCCGCAAGCUUCUGUCUCCGCAAGAUCCCAUCUAGGGCACGUUCUGGUGCCCUGCCGGAGGGGAGAUUCGGACACGGAGGGCUUCUUCAUCAACACCAUGACCUCUCCGAUGAUGCGUGAGUAGUUCACCAUAGACCUACGGGUCCAUAGCUAGUAACUAGAUGGCUUCUUCUCUCUCUUGGAUCUUCAAUACAAAGUCCUCCAUGAUCUUCAUGGAGAUCUAUCCGAUGUAAUCUUAUUUUGCGGUGUGUUUGUNGCGCGGUUCUAUCAACUACUCGAUAGUAAUUUGUUCACCCACCGUAAUACUUGCUAUUUUGAGAGAAGCCUCUAGUGAACACUAUGGCCCCUAGGGUCUACUGCACACCAUAUUUUCAGCCUUACACUUUUUACUUCGUUGCACUUUCCGCCUUCAGAUCUCACUUUGCAAACAAUCUUGAAGGGAUUGACAACCCCUUUGAAGCGUUGGGUGCAAGCUUGUUUGUGUUUGCGCAGGUACUCUGGACUUGACGAGGCCCUCCUUCUGGAUCGAUACCUUGGUUCUCAAACUGAGGGAAAUACUUACUACUCCUGUGCUGCAUCUCCCUUUCCUCCUCAAGGGAAAAACUGACGCAAACCAGAGAAGUAACAAGAAGAAUUCCUAGGCGCCAAGGAAGGACUUUUGUUGCCGUAGCAAUCAUCACACAAAGUGUACAAGAUGUACCGAGAGGGAUCAAGUGAUCCCAUGGUAUGGUAAGAAUUGUCCAUAAUGCUUUUGUGUACUAGCCCAUGGUCCUUGUGAGAGUUCUAUGUGGGGUUAGGUGUGUCUCCAUGUGUUUGCGUCAAGAGGAAGAUCUCAUUCAACCUAUGAAGGAUGUCAUCAAGUGGUGAUCGUCAUCAAGAUUGCGGUGUGCAAGUUCAAGUGGAGCAUCAUGAAGAUAUCAUGCUUGAAGCUUUCCGUCCAUUGUGGUGGCAACGGACUUGUGAAGAUGUGCUGAAGAGUGGCUCACCCGUAGUUAGUAUGGGGGAGCAAUCAAUUGUCUUCAUCAAACCAAGGCAAUGAAGAAAGGUGGUCCAUCUUGAGUAAGCCAAGAUCAUCAUCGUCUAGCUCAAGAGGACCAGGUGCAAGGUAUAGGUUUGCCCUUGAUAGGUUUUCUAUUUCAGGAUAGAUUGUCGUACUGUCAAGGUUGGCUCUCAAGUGAGUAGCUUGAUCGCAUCGUUCAUUGAGAGCUUAAACAAUUUGCAUCCGUGCAUCAUACUUCUUGGUUUUUGUUUGGUGUUUCUCUUUGUUAGUUUCAGAUCUUAUGGUCAUCUUCAUGACAAGCUCGAGUUCAUCGAAAACGGAGUCCAUAUGCAUCUUCUAUGAUGUUUUCGAUGUCGGAAGUUUUUACCGGUCUUAUUCGAGGAAGGGUUCUCACCAUUUUCUCAUGGGCCUUUUCUCCCUUGCUUCUUAUUGAUAUUUCUAUCAAGAUUGGGUUAACCCAUGUCAUUAGCUUUCUAACAAACUUAGUUUCAUUGAAUUCAGAGUCGGUAUGCGAAAGUUAAGGCAGUUUCUGUGGCGAAUAGUAGUACCGUUUGUGCCGAGCGGUCGUACCGCUCCGUCGGACUUAAUUUGCGCAUCCUUUUUGCCUCGGCAUGGCUGGUGAACCUCCCGAGCGGUAGUACCGCUCCGUCGAACUUUAUUUGCGCAUCCUUUUUGCCUCAGCGUGGCUGGUGAACCUACCGAGCGGUAGUACCGCUCUCUGCGGGUUGUGAAGCAUAACGGUUGGAUUUUUCCUCACCUAUAAAAGGGGGCCUUCUUCCCCAUUGAACCUUAUCUCUUCAGCUUGUGUUCUUCCCCCAUUCUUAACCUUCUUCGAGCUUGCUAACUCUCAAUCCCUCCAAUGAUUCUUGCUAGUUCUUGAGGGAAAAGAGAGAGGAGAUCUAGAUCCACAUUUCCACCAAUCACUUUCUCCUCUAAGUGAGGGGAACCCUUUGGGUAUAGAUCUUGGAGUUCUUCGUGUUCUUCUUUGUUCUUCCUCUCAUUUUCCUCCCUAGCAUUAGUUGCUUUGGUGGGAUUUGGGAGAGAAGGACUUGGGCACUCCGUGUGCCCUUUUCAUUGCAUUUGAUGCAUCGGUUUGAGUUCUCCACGGUGAUACCUGGAAGUGAGAAGUUGAGAAGCUUAUUACCCUUGGGUACUUGGUACCCCUAGAAGCUUGGUGGUGCAUCGGAGCUCAGCCAUUGUGGUGUAAAGCUCCGGGCAAGCGUCGGGGUCUCCAGUUAAGUUGUGGAGAUUGCCCCGAGCAUGUGUGAUCACCUCGAACCCAUAUGCCAUUGUGGUGAAGCUUCGUGGUGUUGUUGGGAGCCUCCAAUUAAGUUGUGGAGAUUGCUCCAAUCUUGUUUGUACGGGUUCAGUGACCGCCCUCAAGGGUCCCUUAGUGGAAUCAUGACAUCUUGCAUUGUGCAAGGGCGUGAGGAGAUUACGGUGGCCUUAGUGGCAUCUUGGGGAGCAUUGUGCCUCCACACCGCUCCAACGGAGAUUAGCAUCUGCAAGGGUGUGAACUUAGGGAUACAUCAUCGUCUCUGCGUGCCUCGGUUAUCUCUUACCCGAACCCUUUACUUAUGCACUUUACUUUGUGAUAGCCAUAUUGUUUCUUGUCAAAUAUCUUGUUAUCACUUAGUUGUUUAUCUUGCUUAGCAUAAGUUGUUGGUGCACAGAGUUGAGCCUAGUUGUUUUAGGUUUUGUGCUUGACAAAUUAAACGUUAGUUUUAUUCCGCAUUUGUUCAAGCCUAAACCGUAAUUAUUUUAAAGCGCCUAUUCCCCCCCCCCCCCUCUAGGCGACAUCCACGUCCUUUCAGCUCGCAAGGGACCAACCCAGCGCUCCCGUAACCGAUCAUCGCCAGGACUCCACCCCGAACCGGACUACCACCGCCUGCGCUCGCCAGGACUUCUUUCCGCGAGUAGAUAGCCCAGGGACCCCGAUCCCGUGCCCCGACGUUUCCCUGUUGCCGCAGAAUCGCACCUCUCCGAUUCGUUCUAUCGCCGAGACCUCAGCAUGACGUCGUCGUCGCCGGAGUAGUCCCUGUCGUCAGAGUCCGCCCAGCCAUCACCGUCGUUGGAGCAUCACCGCAGCAGCUUCGCCAGAGUCAGCAGCUUCACCGGAGGAGCUAAGCCUGAGACCGAAGCCACAUGUUUUUCCAUGUUUCUCAUGGUGAGCACGUGAGCGAUCCGAUUCAGCCAGUCUUGACACACACGGGGCAGUUGCUACAGUACCCGAUUAACCCGCAUUUUUUUUUUCUGUUUUAGCUCAGACAGGUUCUCGAUAAUGUGUUCAAACGUGUUUAACUUGAGUUGGACCAGAUUUAGUUUAAACUUAUCGGAGGCCAUAUUUUUCAAACUGUUCGUCCAAACUAAUUGUUUCUUUUUGCUUUAUGACUGUAUCAGCAUGUAGAUGAUUUAUAUCUGUUGUCAUGCUACUUUUGUUUUGGUUUUACAAAACUGUUUUCUUGUUGUUGGUUUUUAUUUGGUGUUAUAUGAAUGUGGUGAUUGAUUGUUGUCAUUGUUUGAAACGUGUAGAUUGCCGGAGUGUGACGCAAACUAUUGUCAGGAGUGUGAUCUUUUGAACCAGAAUCAAGGCAAGUUACAUGUUGAUCAUCCUUCACCUAUUAUUUUUCUAUGCAUGUAGUAUUAUAUCACCCUAUGAAAUUAUGCAUGUAUAGGAAUAUAGUUAUUAUGCUAUGCUAUUAAGCUAUCCCCUCGGCAUUGAAGAUCUUGGUAUUUGUAGAUUGCUAUGCUUUGUAGACGGGCUUGGUUCCUGUAUUCACUGAGUUUAUGUGAGGAUUACUAUGAAAUAAAUUGAGUAGUAAUUAAGGAUAUAAUACACCUCUGGGAGGAUAUGGUAUUGUUGGGUGGUUUCAAGAACAUCAUGGUUUCGACCCUCUGAAUGUAAGCGGAAUGUCGCCCAGGUUCAAAAAGAUCAGACAGACUUAGUGACUAGUAGCUUCCAUGUGCGACCACUGGCUGUAUGGGCUCUGGCUUAGUUGAUCAGUUGUGGGAACAUUACCCGAAUGUGCCAGUAGAUGUAGUUAUGGUAGUUGGGAUGGGCCUCCUAUGGGACUAGGUGACUGCAUCAAGGGGCAUCUCCACAUAAGCCUUUAGCCAUAGGAUCGGGGUCCCUAGGCUAUUGUAAGUGCAUCUAGUGCCCCUUAGUGAUUUUGGUGGUUUGAAGACUUAUAGGUUAGCUAUCUAAUGUGUUCAUGAGUGUACACAGGAUCUAUAAGUCGCUGAGGAGUUUGAAAUAUUCGAUGAAUAUCGACCCCUAAAAAUGUAUAUCUUCGGCUGAAGAAAUUGGUCUGAAGCUGAAGAAUUGAAUUGUGAAGAAAUUGCGAUGAAAUUGAUAUUCCUCAUGAAGAAAUUGAAGAUUAGGAAUUCGGUGUGUCCUGAAGAAAAACAACCUGAAGAUUUUGAAGCAUGAAGAUUUAUUCUCUCUAUUUUAUUUUCUUCACCUUUGAGUCAUAGGAACACCGUACUGUUAAAGGGGGUCAAAGUAACACGUCAGAAUGAAUUUCCUCAUGAUGCUCAACCCAAGCCUAAUCCUACCAAAAGCCUCAAGUGAGAAAUAUGAGAGACAUGAGGACUCUCACAGUUGAGGGUCCCGACCGUUACCGCAAGUCGCGCCACAUCACUGAUCUUAUCCACACCAACGGUCAUAUUAUUUAAGGGCAUUAAGGUAAAAUCAUGUCGGGAUGCUCCCAGGCUAUAAAUAGCCACCCCCACAACCAUUAGCUGGUUGGCUGCUCCGUUGGAAACUGACACUUGUCAUAAGAGCAACCCAAAUUCCUCAGAGUCUUCAAGAGUAAUUCAUCAGUGAGGAAAUACCCCAAACACCAAACCACAAACCGAAAACCAAGUGAUUGAGCAUCACUGAAGAAGUUGUUCCUAUGUGGGACUGAAGCCUUUUACCUUUGAGGACUAUGCAUCCUCUAGACGGUUAGGCGUCAUGGUCUAGAGCAAUCCAGCACUCAAUUGUGGAUCGCCAAGUGACCAAGUUUGUGAGGGUUUGGAAGUCUGUCCUGAAGACUUACCACGAGUGUUGGGCGAGGACUCUGUGUUCUUAGCCCAAUGAGAAUACGGUAGGGACUGUGUGUCCCAGGAUUGUGUGUCUUUUGGUUUCAAUACCAAGCCGCUCCAAACCAGAUGUAAAAUUGUCACAGAAGUUGGAACUGGAUCAUCAACCACUGUCUUCACUGUGAAACGGGUUCUAUUUCUUCAACUCUUUAAAUUCCUCAUACUGUAUGUUGAUGAUUUUCACUGUCACUGUUUGAAGAAUUUGCUGAAGACUUUCUCUGAAAUUCCUCAACCCCAACUUCUUCACGCGAGUUAAUCCUCAUCUGUUUUCUCCGUGCCUGCAUACCGUGCAAACUAUUUUUCAUAUUCUUCACCUUGAAAACUGUUGUAGUGAUACUUUGCACUCCUGAUCCUUUGUUGUUUCCGCUGCAAGUUAGUCAUUAGUGAGGAAUUUCCUCAAACGGAAUUUCCUCAGUGAUGAAAUUCUAAAAAUCUCCUAUUCACCCCCCCCCUCUAGUCGAUAUAACGCACUUUCAAUUGGUAUCAGAGCAAGGUACUCCCUUGUUCUGUGUGAUUUUGGUUUAACCACCUGGAGUUUUAGUUAUGUCGACUACAAACAUGAUCUAGGUUACUGCGGGAUGUCCUACUUUCGAAGGAAAGGACUUUCCCUUCUGGAAGACCGAGAUGCAAAUGCAUCUACAAGCUAUUGACAAUGAUCUCUGGUAUAUUGUGGAACACGGUGUCCCUAUCGUCGCUGCUACUAUCUCUGCCGCUGAUGUGAAGAAAUUCAAGCAACUUGAUUCUCAAACGAAGAAUAUCAUCUGUGGCCAUCUGAGCAAGGGCCAGUAUGGCAGAGUGAGUGCUUUGGGCUCAGCAAAACUUAUCUGGGAAAGGUUGUCCAAAGUUAAUGAAGGAGUAUCAACCCAGCGUGAUUCUCGUGUUGAUGUUCUUCACAAUCUCUUCAAUUGCUUCAAGAGACUUAACAAUGAAAGCUGCCAAGAUACCUUUGAUCGCCUCAGUGACAUAUCAAAUGAACUGGAAGCACUGGGAGCUCGAGACAUUACUGACCAUGAAGUUGUGAAGAAACUGGUAAGAUCUUUGGAUUCUUCAUUUGAUACUUUAGUUCUGAUGAUUCAAGAAAGACUAGACUACAAGAUGCUUGAUCCAGCUGAUAUACUCGAAAGACUCAAUACUCAUGAAUUCCAACAAGAAGAAAAGAGAGAUCUAUAUGGACCAAGCUAUUCUAGACCACGUGCACUGAAGGCCAAAGCAAUUUCCUCAUCUGAAGAAGAAGUCUCGGAUGGUAGCAUUGGUGAUCCUGAAGAAUUUGGACAGGAGCUUGCAAUGCUCAUGAGGAAAUUCCAGAAGUUUACACGACGUGGCCAGUUUGGUAAAUCUUCAAUAAGAGAUAUGAGGAAAUCAGAAUCUUCAUCUGAGGACUACAAGAAAAGAACCUGCCACAAAUGCAAGAAAUCGGGUCACUACAUUGCUGAUUGUCCUCGUUGGGGAAAGGAAUCAAAGAAGAAGAAAUACAAGGAUGAAAGUUAUGAUGACUCGAAGAAAAAGAAGAAAUCUUCAAAAUCCUCAUCUUCAAAGUCCUCAUCGCACAAGAAGACUAUUUUCAGAAAGGCUGGGGCACUUAUUGGCAAGGAAAUGGAUUCUGAGGCAGAAUCCGAGGAAUGUGAUGAAGAGGAGGGUUAUGAUGAAGACUCAGAAUCUGGACAGGCUAGCCUUGCACUUGCAACCACAUUUGUCAGCAAGUCAAUCUUCAACCUUGAAGAAAAUGAUAACACCAUCCACAUUGAUGACUAUGCUGAUGACUUCGCUCCAACCUAUUGCUUCAUGGCAAAAGGUUUAAAGGUACCGAAUGAUGCUUCCUCCUCUGAUUCAAGUGACUAUGAACCUGAUGAUUAUAAAAAACCCAGUUACAGUAAACUUGCUAUCAUUGCCACUAAACAACAAACUGCCCUGGAAAAGCUUCAGAAACUGCUAGACGGAAGUGAUGAUCUGUUGAAUGAUGAAAUGAAUCUUACCCAAAUCCUCACUGAAGAUAUGAAAAGUCUUUAGUCCAGAUUUGAUAAUCUUCAAGAUCGUCAUGUUACACUCCUUGCUGAUCAUGAGAAACUUUCCUAUGAAUUUCUUCAAAGGAAGCUUGAUCUUGAGAAGCUAAGGAUUUCUCAUGACGAUCUUCGUAUGGAAAAUGAUUCAUUACUAGCUCAACAGAUCAGUGCUGCUCAAGCUGAAUUCAUUCCUCCAUGUCUUAAAUGCAUCGAAUGUGAAACUGCUAAUUCUUCACCAGAAUCAUCAAAUGCUUCUAUUGCUACAAAUUCUUCAACUGCCCCUGUAGUGUCAAAUUCCUCACUUGAGGAAACCACAAAUGUCACUGAUGAAAAUGCUGGGCUGAAGGAAUUGUAUGUGACAGGCAUAUACAAAAGUCUCAAAGGACACCAAACCCUUUGUGAUGUGCUCAAAAAGCAGAUCUUGAACAGGAACCCGAGGAAAGAAGGAAUUGCCUUUGAGAGGAAAUUGAAUGCUGAUGGAUCAUACUGGAAACCUGAGCAGUAUCCCAAAACCUCAUGGGUUGCUUCUACUGGGCCUCCUUUUGAUCCAUCCAAUCUAACAGGCUUUUCAUGUGAUAUAUCCUAUUCCUCAGAUGAGUCAUUUGACUCCAACUAUAAACUGUUCAAAAAUCAAUCUGGUGAAGUAUUUGCUCGAUAUGUUGGAACUAACUGCAGGAAUGGGCCUCUCCUGAGGAAGAUCUGGGUUCCCAAAAGUUGCCUUGAAAAUCUUCAGGUGAAUGUACUCAUGACACCACCUAUGAAGAAUUUGAACCGCAGAUCAAAUUCCUCAGGAGGACCAAAGUCUUCAAGAGGAUCAAAAUCUUCAACUGGUCAAAACUAUGCUCGUACCCGUGCUAAUGCUUCUAACAUGCAGGGAAAUUACAAGGAAUAUGAAUAUGAGUGUUAUUCUUCAAAUCAUUAUGUUCAUAAAUCCUCAAAUAAGUUCUCUACAUAUUCAUUUGAGUACUUUAACCCCCCUACUGUUAAGAGAAGUGCAUUAGCUUCAAUGCCCCCUUUCUCAUAUGGUGCUCGCAGAAUGAUGAAUGCUUUACCACCCCUUCAGAUGUGGGUGGUGAAGAAAUUGAACUAAUCACUUCUGCAGGUCAGGUCUCUAGAUGAAAAUCGUCAUGUGAAGAAUUUGCUGGAAACCUGAGGAAAACGCUUGAUGGGACGCAAGCUAAUAUUUAUGAAAUAGAAAUAUUUCACACGUCCUUAUAAUUCUAUUUAUGAUGAAAUUCCUAUCUGAUGAAAUUGAUAUCAUAUUCUUCAAGUCCGAAGCAUAUGAGAUGGUAAACUGUACUAAUUCAUCUGCAGGAUGACAAACCCAAGAGUACUGAGUGGGUUCUUGAUAGUGGCUGCACACACCACAUGACUGGUGACCAAAGCUUGUUGAUGAAUAUGCCACUAACUCCAUCACCCCUGAAGCAAAUCACAUAUGCUGACAAAGGUAAAAGCAAGCUAUUGGGACUUGGCAAAGUGGCUAUUUCCAAGGAUAGGCACAUGGACAAAGUAAUGCUUGUUGCAUCCCUUGGAUUUAACCUCAUUUCAGUCUCAAUGCUUUGUGAUCUUGAUAUGAUUGUUAUCUUUGGAAGAUAUAGAUGUGUUGUCAUCAUGGAAUCUGAUAGAUCCAAAGUCUUCGAAGGUGUUAGAAGAGGGGAUUGUACAUUGUUGAUUUCUCUACAGGUCCUCAACCAGCCACUUGCUUACUAGCAAAAACCUUAGAAGGGUGGUUGUGGCAUCGAAGACUUGGUCAUGCAGGCAUGAGGAAUUUGCACACGCUCGCGGAGAAGAAGCAUGUCAUCGGCACCGAAUCAGUCAAAUUCCUCAAGGACCACCUCUACGGUGCUUGUGAGUCUGGGAAAAUGACCAGAUCCAAGCACCCCUCGAAGACUAUCAUGACUAGUACUCGUCCAUUUGAAUUGAUUCACAUGGAUCUAUUUGGACCUACUCAUUAUGCCACCCUAACAAAUGCAGCAUCUUUAUAUGGCUUUGUCAUAGUUGAUGAUUAUUCUAGAUACACAUGGGUGCAUAUCAUUUUAUAUAAAACUGAAGUGCAGGAAGUCUUCAAACGAUUUUCCUCAAGGGCCUCGACGAACUUCGGCGUCAAGAUCAAACACAUCAGGAGUGAUAAUGUAACAGAGUUUAAAAAUACUAGUCUUGAUAAUUAUCUUGAUGAACUUGGUAUUACUCACGAAUUGUCUGCUCCUUAUACUCCUCAACAUAAUGGCGUCUUCGAAAGGAAGAACGGGACUCUGGUUGAGAUGGCAAGAACCAUGCUUGAAGAAUAUCAAACUCCUCGUCGCUUUUGGCCUGAAGCAAUUAACAUUGCAUGCCAUAUCAUCAACAGGGUAUAUCUUCACAAAUUCCUCAAGAAAACCUCAUAUGAACUCCUCACACACAAGAAACCCAAUGUAAGUUAUUUCAAAGUCUUCGGUGCAAAAUGCUAGAUUAGAGAUCCUCACCAUAGCUCAAAGUUUGCACCUAAGGCACAUGAGGGUUUUAUGCUCGGUUAUGGAAAGGACUCACACACCUACAGAGUCUUCAACACCUAUCACAACAAAGCUGUUGAGACUGUAGAUGUGCAGUUCGAUGAAACUAAUGGCUCGCAAAGAGAGCAAUUGCCUCCUGGUCCAGAUAAGUUGUCUCCUGAGGAAGCAAUAAAGCUCAAAGCUACUGAAGACAUUGUUCCUACUGAGGAAAUUGAUGAAGAGAUCAUUCCCAGCACUGAUGAAAAUCAAGAAGAUGCUCCUGAGAAAAUAGCUCCUGAACCAAUUCCUCAGCCCAGACGAAAUCCUCAACCAGCUCAUCCGAGGAUUGCAAAUGAAGUGGAACUUGAAAAAAUCCUCAAUGACAUCAACGCGUCAGGUCCUCUCACUCGCUCAAAGCUUCACACUUAGUUAACUUUUGUAGGCAUUUCUCCUUUGUGUCUAUCACAGAACCUUCAAAAGUUGCUGAGGCUUUCAUGGAACCGGAGUGGAUCCAAGCCAUGCAAGACGAACUUCUUCAAUUCAAGUUGAAUGACGUAUGGGAGCUCGUCAAACGACCAGAUCCUCGCAAGCACAAUAUCAUCGGCACCAAGUGGAUUUUCCGAAACAAGCAAGAUGAGGAUGGUCAAGUGGUGAGGAAUAAGGCGCGACUUGUAGCCCAAGGCUACACACAGGUUGAAGGAAUUGAUUUCGAUAAAACUUUUGCACCUGUUGCUAGACUUGAAGCUAUUCGAAUAAUACUUUCUUAUGCUAAUCAUCAUAACAUUAUCUUAUAUCAAAUGGAUGUGAAAAGUGCAUUCCUCAAUGGUAAGCUUGAGGAAGAAGUAUAUGUUGCUCAGCCCCCAGGUUUUGAGGAUCCAAAGAAUCCACACAAAGUCUUCAGACUCAAAAAGGCACUCUAUGGUCUCAAGCAAGCCCCUCGGGCGUGGUAUGAUACAUUGAAGGAAUUCCUCAUGAAGAAAGGCUUCAAACCUGGUUCACUCGAUCCAACUCUUUUCACUAAAUCCUAUGAUAAUGAACUAUUUGUGUGCCAGAUAUAUGGCGAUGACAUCAUAUUUGGCUGUACUAACAAACGUUACAGUGAUGAAUUUGCUUACAUGAUGAGUGAAGAAUAUCACAUGUCUAUGAUGGGGGAGCUGAAAUUCUUCUUAUGUAUUCAAAUUCGUCAACAACGCAAUGGAAUCUUCAUAUCACAGGAGAAAUACCUCAAGGAUGUUCUGAGGAAAUUCGACAUGUAUGAAUGCAAAGGUGCCAAGACUCCAAUGCCUACCAACGACCACCUCUGCACUGACGAAAAUGGUAAAGAAUUCGAUCAGCAGGUAUAUCUCCCCAUGAUUAGCUCUUUACUGUAUUUGUGUGCAUCUAGGCCAGAUAUAAUGCUUAGUGUUUGCAUGUGUGCACGUUUUCAAGCAAAACCGAAGGAAUCACACCAUAAGGCUGUGAAGCAUAUUCUUCGAUACUUAGCUCACACACCAACACUAGGAUUAUGGUACCCCAAGGGCUCAAAUCUUCAUCUUGUGGGAUAUUCUGAUUCUGACUAUGCUGGUGACCGUCUGGAUCGCAAGUCAACCUCCGGCACAUGUCAUUUCCUCGGAAGAUCACUAGUGUGCUGGUCCUCAAAGAAGCAAAACUGUGUUUCACUCUCCACUGCCGAAGCUGAGUACAUUGUUGCUGGUUCAUGAUGUGCUCAAUUACUAUGGAUGAAGCAAACCCUCAAGGACUACGGCAUCAACAUGAAGAAUGUGCCUCUCUACUGCGACAAUGAGAGUGCAAUCAAGAUUGCAUACAACCCAGUACAUCACUCGAAGACUAAGCACAUCCAGAUUCGUCACCAUUUUCUUUGGGACCAUGUCCUCAAGGGCAAUAUCCUCAUCGACCAUGUGAAGACUGACGAUCAACUCGCAGAUAUCUUCACUAAGCCCUUGGAUGAGAAAAGGUUUUGCAAGUUGCGGUGUGAGCUAAAUAUCUUAGAAUCUUCAAAUGUUUUGUAAAAACAUGCACACAUCCUAACACUUAUGAAUAAUUGAUGACUUAGAUGUGCAACACACGAAGAAUCGAUUUUAUUCAACCAAUGAAGAAUAUCACUCUUAGUGUGCGGAAAUCAACGAAGAAAUUGAUUCUCAAGGCCCUACGACAAUUGUACGCAGCGUCUGAAAUCAACAUUCUUAUAUGGUGGGUCACGCCACCAUCCAACUUGAAAUUCCUCAAGUUGAAUUUCUUCAAAGUUGAUUUUCUUCAAAGCAGUUGUUCUUCAAACUUGUCUUUCUUCAAAACUGAAAUUCAUCAUCACGACGCUUUGUCACAAAAUCCUCAAGUUAAUCAAAAUCUUCAAAAACACUUGAUGAUUUUCAUUUGCCUAGAUAUAUAUAUAGACUGUGAUUUCAAAGUCCUCAACAGCAUUCACUUAUAGCUAUUUCUUCAAUUUGAUAUUUCAUCUAAGUGAAUGUGAUCGGACCCUACUUUCCCUCCAUGCUACUCUCACCCAGUCUAUUCAAUUCUUCAUAUGCGUUCUACUUGAAACUUUGUUCAAAAUCCUCACCGCGUCCUUGUCAGCUGAUGAUUUUGUAACAAAAUCCUCAGAUCUUCAAAAAUGAUUUUUAUAUUGUUACACAGUAACUGAACCCCACUUCCCACGAUCACCUAAGCACGAUCUCCACCGCUUUAAACGGUUGUUACACGUGUCAUGCGGAGACGAAAGGACAGGGGUAGUUCGGUCCGAAAGAAUCGGCCAGACAGUUUUCACCUGGGCUAUAAAUAUGUCCUUAGCCCCCUCGGUCAAAACUCUUCGCUCUCUCUCUCUCGACCUCCUCUCCGCUACACCAAAGCCCUAGCGCCACCGCUAGAAGUCUCGUCGCCGGCGAGGAAAAGAUUGACUGUCUCGACCUCUCCGUCGCCGAAAUAACGUCAGAACCAGAUCAUCUUCGUCCGCCGCCGCCGUAGUUGUCCUCUGUUGCCGAGUUAGGGCGCAGUGGACUCCUACCGAAGAGCAUCUACUGCUACUUCUUUCUCUGUUCUUCGUGAGCGCUAUAUAGGGUAAAUAAAAACCCUAUUUUUACAGCCCUUUCGAUCUACUAUUUUACGUAGAUUUGUGAAACCUGUUUUUCCUCAAGUGUCCAUCAGUCUCUAUUCCUCAAACACUGCUUAUUCCUCAACCCACUGGUUAAAUUCCUCAACUUUAAAAAAAAUCAUUUCAUCAAAUCUGAGAACGCAUAUGACCUCUCCAAAUUUCUCGCAACUAUACUCUAUUCACACGUACAAAAAUGUCAGCUGAUGAAUCUCUAGGUUCUGAUCAACUUAACUCAUUUGCAGCGUUUCUUGAAGAAAAUCUGCAAGUUUCAUCGGAAUCCUCAAGAGUUCAUUUUCCUCAGCAAAAGCCUCAGCUGAAGAAAAUGGAAGAUGAAAGGAAGCAAAAGGGUGGCAAGAAUCUUGAACAGAACACAGCCAUCGAUAUUCCUGAGGACAUAUACCUCGAAUACUGUACACCUGAUGAGCAAGAGACAAUUCCCAAGAGGAAGAUAAGGCUUCAGAAGAUAGAACGCCGGUGGGCUAAGGAGUGGAAAGAAUACAGAUUCGUCACUCCCAAGUACGCGAAGAAAUUCGCUCUUAAGCCUCCUGGCAAACGGCCUCCUCUUGAGGAUUAUCAGGAUGCACACCCCUCAAGCCUCAAGACAAUUGAUGACUAUCCUGAGGAAAAGACAAAACAUUUGUCAAAGCUUCAGAAGCAGGCAGAAGCUGUUGUGAGGAAAUUUAAUGAAGAAUCUGUUGCUGCUGCUACUGCCGCCACCUCCUCUGCAGCUGAAACUUCUGGCACAGCCAUUCCUCAAAUGAAGUCGGUGCCACCAAAACCAAAGGCUUCAAAGCCUCGGGAGAAAAUGCUUCCGAAAGCUGCACCAGCAUCCGCACCAAAACUCUCAGCACCACCAAAGGCUUCAAAGCUUGAACACAAGCAGAUUGUGAAGCAACUGCCUACUGUCUCUAGCUCCUCUGUUCCUUCUGCAACAAGCUCUGAGACAAAGUCUUCACCAACUCCAAUGAAGACUAAGGUGACUGCUGGGAGAGGAACCAGACCAAGCCCUGGCUAAAUCAUCAAAGUCCCUUCUGCAUCAGAAGGCAGUGAUGAAUAUGAUGAUGAGACUCUGCAAGCCAUCAUCAGAAACAAGCAGGAGAGGGUAGCACAAGCUUCAGGCAGCGCCAUUCCUCUGGCCAUGGACCCAAAAGUCCUCUUGGAUUACAUCAACAUAUGGUAUGAGGACCCCAACACUCCUAUUGAUGAUUUGAAGCUUCCUCCAGGCAUCAGCCACAUGGUGGCCACUUUCAUCAAUGAGGCCAAGUGGAAGGAGACACAAGCCAAACAAGCUAAGGCUGCGAAGCUCAAAAAAGGAGAAAUUCCUCAGACAGAAUCUCCUCAACUUGACGCCUGAUGCACUUGUGUCCACUCAGGCAGAAUUGAAGACUUUGACUGACAAGUACACCAAGCUCUCUGAUCGUCAAAGUCUCAAGAACAAUUUCAUCAAAUUUGCUACAGAUGCAGUUGAUAAUUACAACAAGAAGGCUGCCCCUCCAGCAACAACACAACAGCCUGAGAUUGAGGAACCACAAACUGCCCCUGCUGAGGAAAUCCCUCAAGAAAGUCGUGCUGAUGAACCGGCUAUUGAGGAAAUAACCAAGGAAACUCCAACUGAUGACUCUGCUCCAACUGAUGAAACUGCUCCAGCUGAUGCAUCUAAGCCAGCUGAUGACUCUGUUCCAGCUGAAGAAACUGCUUCAGCUAAGGAAAGUGCCAGGACGGAUGUGUCUCCGCCUCCUGAAGAGAAAAUGUCUUCACCAAAAUCUUCAAAUGUGAAGAAAAUGACUCCGUCUGCAUCAGACGUGAAGAAGACGAGCUGCUGAAAAGGAAGCUAAAAAGAGAAAAGCUUCCUCAACAGAAGAAUCAACUAAGACCAAGCGCCUCAAAUCUCUUGAUGAAAAUGGUCCUCUGGAGCAUGUGCCUCUCAACAUUGCUCCAUCUUAUGAGAUGACUCCCUUCGAAAGCAAAGACAAGGAGCACUUGACUGAUCAGGAAAUGAAGAAUGCUGCGUCUGAGGAACACACUGAUGAGGAAAUUCAGAUUGAUGACGGUCCUCAGACCUUCAUUCCUCCUGAAGAACCUGCUCAAGGAUCAGCUGAACCAGUUGAUGAAUUUGGCUCCUCCACCAAGCAAACCCCUCAAGCUGAGGAAAAUCAAGGAGAAAAUCUUCAGCCUGAAGAAAAUCCAAAUCUUGAGCAAAACCCUCAACCUGAGGCUCAGGAUGAAGAUAUUCCUCCUCCUGAGCAAAAUCCUCAACCAGAGGCUCAAGUUGAUGACAUUCCUCAACCAGAGAAAGAUCCUCAACCUGAAGCACAAGCAGAAGAAAUUCCUCAUCCUGAGGAACAUGCUGAAGAAAAUGCCCCUGCACCAAAUCCAGAGAAUGCUCUAGUCGUUAUCAAUCCAGAAACUGCGAUGAUUGUCUCCCCUCAAGGGAAGAAGCAAAACCUUCAGCCGAAGCAACGUCAGCCAUUCUCCAAGCGGCCAAAGUUUCAAAAGGAAUCCUUCUUUGAGGAACGCAUGUAUCUCAUCGAAGAAAAUCCUUAUGAAAAGCCUCGCAUCAGGCACCUGAAGUUCUGGACCAGGACUCAGCUCAACUACUAUGCAUCCGUGAUGUGUGGAAGAAACAAGAUUUUUCAGCACAGGCAUAUUCCUCGUGUUGAGCUUGAACAAAUCCCGGGCUUUGCCCCAGUCCUCAACGUUCUUCAUGAAGCAGGACUGCUCCCUAUGUGCUCUGAUAUUUGUGAUUGGAAUAGUGACGUUGUUCUUCAAUUCUAUGCAACUCUACACAUCUCUGGAGAUCCAUCAGAUAUCAACACUUGGGUGCUGGAUUGGAUGACGCAGCACACACACUUCAAGGCCCCUACGAAUGAGCUGCUGCGAGAACUUCCUGUGUCAAUUCCUUCAGAGCAGGCUAUGAAGAUGUAUGAUGAACGGGAGCUGCCGAAUAAGCUGAUGGAAGUCCUCAUGAAGCCUUUGGCCAAGGGGCAACCACCAAGAACAACCUUCUUGGUCCAUGAGCUGAAGUAUGAACCCAGGACUGUUUACAGAAUCCUGUGUAGUAUUCUUGCGCCAAUCAAGGGUCAUGAUGAUGAAGAAGACGUUGUAGGCAUCAUGAAGAAUAUCCUCUUCAACAUCAUCCAUGGCAUUCCCAUCAACAUUCAUGAUUUCUUCUUGAGGACUCUGGUGGAUAAUGCUAUGUCCCCUUUUGACCUGAAGAUUUACGCUUCAUGGAUCAUGAGAUUCAUCAGACGAAGGUCGGGCAUCAACUAUCACGCUGAUUUCAAUAAUCACCAAGGAUAUAUGCCUCCACUAAGGGUCAACAAGAAGACUUUCGAGCCUGUUGAAGGAAAAGCAAAGUUUGUGAUUGAUGAAGGCAGUCAGCCCCUUGAUGGCCAGCUCCGAGAGCCAGAUGCAUAUUACUCGUGGGAUGACACUGAAACCCAUCCACCAAGUCCUGUUGCUCCAAGGGUGAUGAAUACCAGAGAGCUUCUCCUAAGUCUUCACCAAAAGGUUGAUCGAAAUCACAAGUGGGUCAAACACCAGUUCGGCGCCAUUGUGAAAACCCUCAAUGAGACUCAGAAUGCCGUGAAGCUUAAUCAUCAUUAUCUUCAUGAGGUUUUUGAUCGCACCUGGGCCACACUGGCUCAUUUGAAGACUCCAGCAGAACUUGAAGAAUUGGAGUUUGCACAGGACUUCGACUGGUCAUGGCCACCAAAGAAGAAAUUCAAGCCAAUUCCAGUUCCGGACCUUGAGGACAGUUCGUUUUCUUCAUUCCACACUGCUGAAUCAGAUGAAGAUCAACAAGACACUGCCACUGGUCCAAGGAGGAAGUUUGCUUCCAAGAAUCCUCACGCAUCUUCAUCAACUGCCAAGAAGUGAAAGUCUUCACGGGAUGUUAGUCCUCAGUUUGUCCCUUUUUGUCACUUGAUGACAAAGGGGGAGAAAUCUGAGAGUUAGUCUUCACGUGGGGAUAUAUUUUGGGGCUUAUAAACUUUAUUUAAGUUACAAACUCUUGUCUCGUCUGAAGUGUUUUAUGUAAUGAGUUGUAACUUAAGCCCGAUGGUACUCUGACGCUUUUGAACAUUUUUCUUCGCAUGCUUAUUCCUCAAAAUAUUAAUGCACGUAUGCUGGAAUUCGUCAGAUACCAUUUCUCAUCAUGCAUUCUCAAUUUCUUCAUACUAUAUGCCAAAUGUAUGCAUGAUUUACAAGACUCACGGGGAGAUCUCCAUGAUAUAAAUCAUCAAUGUGAAUUUGCUGUGAAAAGCAAAACCCUCAAGAUAUGCACAUCUUCAGGGGGAGUCUCUCUGAAUCUUGAUUUCAAAUUCCUCAAAUGAGUAUUUACACUCCAUAUUUUUAUCCCCGUUGAAGACUUAACCUAAUUGUCAUCAACCACCAAAAAGGGGGAGAUUGUAAGUGCAUCUAGUGCCCCUUAGUGAUUUUGGUGGUUUGAAGACUUAUAGGUUAAGUAUCUAAUGUGUUCAUGAGUGUACACAGGAUCUAUAAGUCGCUGAGGAGUUUGAAAUAUUCGAUGAAUAUCGACCCCUAAAAAUGUAUAUCUUCGGCUGAAGAAAUUGGUCUAAAGCUGAAGAAUUGAAUCGUGAAGAAAUUGCGAUGAAAUUGAUAUUCCUCAUGAAGAAAUUGAAGAUGAGGAAUUCGGUGUGUCCUGAAGAAAAACAAUCUGAAGAUUUUGAAGCAUGAAGAUUUAUUCUAUCUGUUUUAUUUUCUUCACCUUUGAGUCAUAGGAACACCAUACUGUUAAAGGGGGUCAAAGUAACACGUCGGGAUGAAUUUCCUGAUGAUGCUCAGCCCAAGCCUAAUCCUACCAAAAGCCUCGAGUGAGGAAUAUGAGAGACAUGAGGACUCUCACAGUUGAGGGUCCCGACAGUUACCGCAAGUCGCACCACAUCACUGAUCUUAUCCACACCAACGGUCAUAUUAUUUAAGGGCAUUAAUGUCAAAUCAUGUCGGGAUGCUCCGAGGCUAUAAAUAGCUGCCCCCCACAACCAUUAGCUGGUUGGCUGCUCUGUUGGAAACUGACACUUGUCAUAUGAGCAACCCAAAUUCCUCAAAGUCUUCAAGAGUAAUUCAUCAGUGAGGAAAUACCCCAAACACCAAACCACAAACCGAAAACCAAGUGAUUGAGCAUCAAUGAAGAAGUUGUUCCUGUGUGGGACUGAAGCAUUUUACCUUUGAGGACUGUGCAUCCUCCAGACGGUUAGGCGUCAUGGUCUAGAGCAAUCCAGCAGUUAAUUGUGGAUCGCCAGGUGACCAAGUUUGUGAGGGUUUGGAAGUGUGCCCUGAAGACUUACCACGAGUGUUGGGCGAGGACUGUGUGUUCUUAGCCCAAGGAGAAUACGGUAGGGACUGUGUCUCCCGGGACUGUGUGUCUUUUGGUUUCAAUACCAAGCCGCUCCAAACCAGAUGUACAACUGUCAUAGCAGUUGGAACUGGGUCAUCAACCACUGUCUUCACUGUGAAACGGGUUCUAUUUCUUCAACUCUUUAAAUUCCUCAUGUUGUAUGUUGAUGAUUUUCACUGGCACUGUUUGAAGAAUUUGCUAAAGACUUCCUCUGAAAUUCCACAACCCCAAAUUCUUCACGCGAGUUAAUCCUCAUCUAUUUUCUCCGUGCGUGCAUACUGUGCAAACUGCUUUUCAUAUUCUUCACCUUGAAAACUGUUGUAGUGAUACUUUGCACUCCUGAUCCUUUGUUUCUUCCGCUGCAAGUUAGUCAUCAGUGAGGAAUUUCCUCAAAAGGAAUUUCCUCAGUGAUGAAAUUCUAAAAAUCUCCUAUUCCCCCCCCCCCCCUUCUAGUCGAUAUAACGCACUUUCAGCUAUCUGCUCGCGGCUAAAUGCUUAUGUGGAGAUGCCCCUUGAUGCAAGAAAGGAAUAAUAUUGGCUCAAGCUUCAAGCUAGAAGACUCUUCAUUUUAUAUUUGUGAGAAAUCACUUUUGAGUCCAUAGGAAAGCCAAUACUAUUAAAAGGGGAUGAGAUAGUUAAAUGAACGGAUUUCUCAAAAUGCUCAAAGUUAGCCACCGAAAUACUCAUUCAUUUUUCCCACAUAUCCACUCUGUCAAAUUCCAUAUACACAAAUUCGGUGUCACCAACUUUCACAUUUCGGACCCACCGCGUUUGGCCUUAGACAGAAACCCUAGCCAUUCCCACCAAAUCGGUGCAACCGAAUCCAUAUUGGUGCUACCGAGUUUGGGUGACCAACUUUUGGGUGCCUCGAUACACAAAAUCGGAAUUUCCGAGUUCGAGUAUCGGUGCCACCGAGUUUGGUCAUCUGACCGUUAGCCACCUUUUCUGUGUCACCGAGUUUCAUACAUCGGUCUCACGGAGAUUCAAAAGUUGAUGCCUUUAGUGCUAAUUGGUACCACCGAGUUUUUCACUUCAGUGUCACCGAGUUUGCCACUUUGUGAGUAACGGUUGGAUUUUGUGUGAUGCCUAUAUAUACCCCUUCACCCACCUCUCAUUCCUGGGAGAAGCACUCAGAACACACACUUCAUUGCCAGAUCCAUUUUCUAAGAGAGAACCACCUACUCAUGUGUUGAGACCAAUAUAUUCCAAUCCAUCAUUUGAAACUUUAUCUCUAGCCUCCCCAAACAGCUUUCCAUCAAAUCAAUCUCUCCUACCCAUGCAUAUUCAGUGAGAGAGUGAUUUUGUGUUGAGGAGACUAUCUUUAGAAGCACAAGAGCAAGGAGUUCAUUGAUCUACCACGUCUAUUACCUUUUGGAGGGUGGUGCCUCCUAGAUUGGUUAGGUGUCGCUUGGGAGCCUCCUACUUCAUGUUGUGGAGUUGAACCAAGACUUUGACGUGAGCACAAUGAUUGUUCUAUUUGGAGUUUCUUCUUCUUCUUCAUUUAUCUAGGAUGGAUUCCAGGCCGAUAGCUUGGGAUAGCAAGGAUGGAUGUCGUUCUUUUAUCGUUUGUUUUCGUUCGUAUCCGGACCCUAAUCUUCUUCACAAUGAUUGAUUAUGUUGUUGUAUUGAUGUGAUCUUGAUGUAGCUUGUGGUGAGUGUAAGCCAACUCCUUAUACUCAUCUUUUCAGUACAUGUACUCGUAUCGAUAUCCAUUCUUGCGAAACGACGAGAUGCGUUUCUAUCCCUGUCGAGGCCCUCACGCCAAAAUAAGGAUAGGGCAUCUUGGGCCAAUUUGAAACGCACAAGAUGCGAUCCUAUCCUUAUUUUGGCUCGAGGGCCUCGACAGGGAUAGAAGCGCAUCUCGUCGUUUUGCAAGAAUAGAUAUCGUUACAAGUACAUGUACUGAAGAGAUGAGUAUAUGGAAUUGGCUUACACUCACCACAAGCUACAUCAAGUUUAAAUCACUACAACAACAUAAUCAAUCAUCAUGAAGAAGAGUAGGGUCCGACUAAGGACGAAAACAAACGAUAAAAAACGACGUCCAUCCUUGCUAUCCCAGGUUGCCGGCUUCGAACCCAUCCUAGAUCGAUCAGGAAGAAUAAGAAACUCCAAAUAGAACAAUCAUCGCGCUCACGUCAAGGUAUCGCUUUACUUGUACCUGCAACUGGUGUUGAGUAAUCUGUGAGCCACAGGGACUCAGCCAUCUCAUUUCCAAAGGUAUCAAUACUAGCAAAGCAUAAUGGGUGAGGUAUGGUUAAGUGGUGAGGCUGCAGCAAGCGACUAAGCAUUUAUUUGAGGUGGCUAACUUAGAAGUACAAGAAUAAGACGGGGAUGAUCUACGCACAUCGGACGUGAACUAACAAUGAUCAAAUGAAUGAUCCUGAACCCUACUUACAUCUGACAUAACCCACCAUGUCCUCGAUCGGAGAAGGAGCUCAAGAAAGAGACAAUCACGGUUACGCACAGUUUACUUCAAGUUAUCUAGAAUCGGAUGUUAAACAAAGUUUCCAAGUUUGUCACAUAACCGCGGGCACGGCUUUUCGAAAGAUUUAACCCUUUAGGGGUGCUCCAACUAGUCCAUCAUAAGUUACCACCAAUCCACAUAGAAAGCCUCGACCACGAAACUCAUGAUCUCCUCGGAUUCCUUAUUGGAAAACCUCAACUCUGAGACAGCCCAAAGCAUCACCGGAAUCCCGAUGCACAAGAUAUUUCGUAAACGGUAAAACUAAUCCAGCAAGGCCGCCCGGCGUGCCGAUAGAGCCGAUGGGAGCCGCGUAUCUCGUUCUCAGGGCACGACCGGAUGAGCUAGAUGUCGGGUUGGCUCAAACUCCGGGUGACCAGGGGGCGCUCGACAUCGCUCAUGUUGGACCACCACUCAUGAGGACCACUGGCCCGGGAGUUGAUUAAUUUCCUUGGGGGUCGACUAGUCCCUAUGCAAGUUUAUUAGUUAUUAGGCAAAUGUAGUACCAAAGUUGGGCCUUGCCAGACAAGCUUUAACUAAGACGAGUUAUCAAGGGGGUCCCCAUAACAACCCCGAUCGUGUUAGGAGCGCUCAAUUAUGGAAUAUAACACCGGUAGCCGAAACUAAGGCGACAAAGGUGGAACAAAACACCAGGCUAGAAAGGUCAAGCCUUCCACCUUUUACCAAGUAUAUAGGUGCAUUAAUUUAAAUAGCAUUAAUAUGGUGAUAUAACAAGGAUCCCAUGUUAUCACAUGGAAGCAACUGCACCUGCAACUAGCAACGCUAUCCAAUGGUUAAGCAACCGGUAACAUAGCCAUUUAGUGGUUUGCUAGGUUGUAGAAAGGUUGAAGGUUUUUAUGGCAAUGUUGGAAGGCUUAUUAAACAGGUGGUAGGCAUUGAGACAUAGCGAUAGAAAUGAAACAACUAGCAUGGCAAUGAUAGUAAUGGUAUCUAGGGAAAUGAUCAUCUUGCCUGUGAUCCGGCCUGGAAGAAGAACGAAACCCUCAAGUAGACGAACCAACAUAGUCGAACGGAUCCUCACACUCUGAAGCGGAUCGGAGCUCUAUCGAGAAGAAGCAGACUGGAAAAAGAAUCAACACACGAUAUUCACCACGACACAUGCACGAUAUGAUGCAAAACCUAAUAUGAUGCAUGUCCAUUUCAAUUAUGCAAGGCAUGGCAUGGCAAUUCACAACAUCAAACACUACACAUUAAGUGAAGCUCAAUAUGCAACGAGUUGCAUAUUGACGAAACUCCACAUUCGAAUUAUUUAAUUCACUCCCGUUUAGGUACACGACAAUUUUAAAAUAUUGUUCACAUGGCAAGAGGUGAAGCAUGUGAUUCUACACGUCAUUCUAGUCGGUUACACAUAUAGCUCAUCUCCGACGGAGUUACGGCCUACAAGAUACGGGCAACGCAAGAUAUUAUGCCAUGAAUACAACAUGCAUGCAAUUUUAUUAAACACUGGCAAGAAGGAUAUGAAGCAUGUGUCACCAUGAGGAAAGAAAGAAGACCAUGGGGCAAAGCGGAAACGAUGCCACGGCAACAUUCCGGUCCCGAUAACUCGACGAGAUAUCAGUACCAACGAAUUUUGAGCGUGUGCAUGUCAUGCCAAAGAAUGAUGGGGUGAUCCCGGUAACCAGGUUCCCAUGUGUCGGGGCACGACAAAAGAGGGACAACGUGCAACGAGCAAUCAUAUAUGGUGCAAGGAUACGGUUCAACUCAUACAUCACAUGUAUUCGGUCCACGGCAUCGUCCCAACGGUUAUACCUUUGAAGCGUGCAUUUCGGAGCGGAUCGAGGUUCGUCGAGGGAAGUAGUCGUACACGUGUCGUCGUGGACGUCGUUGAAGUAGUCGUACACGCAUCUUCGGUGAUGGUAGUUGUACACGGUUGGUGACGAACUUGACGUAUCCACGAUCUUCGGAGGUCGACGGUAGUGGUUCCCGUAGUUGUUCACGUGUCAAAUCGUUGGCCUUGAUGAAUCGGAAGGGAUACUUGGCGAUCCAAGGGUGCUCAUGUUCAAGGAGGUCUCGGUUCCGGUGAUGGCAGCAAAGGAACAUGGUCGUCUUGCACUUGCGUGAACCAAAUCGAAAUGACACAAAAAAUUACGGGUGACGCAUCCAAAUGGCCAACCUAAACCAGUUGCAUCUGAGGGCAGCAAGGAGCCACGACAAAGGUCAGCGACAACAACAACACACAGGAGUGGCAACAGCAUGCUAUAGCAACAGCAGGCGGUAGAAGCAGCAAACAGUGGAUGUUGGAGGAAGCAAAGGGCUCGGGCAGCUUGUGUGCAGGGGAGAAAACGGCGCAGCCUAGGCGCUGGCAGCUGUGAGGAGGCGGGCAACAUCGCAUGGGUUCUCGAUAGAGGCCAAUGCCAUGGGAGGCGGGAGGCGGUCGAGCGCCAUGGCUGGGAAGGAGGGGCUCGAGGCGAGCUCCUCAUGGCUGGCGGGGCAGCGGGCGAGACCGAGCUGGGCCGUCUCCUAGGAGACGCUGCGUCAACGCUCGCUCGAGAGCGACCACGAGGGGUUGCUCUCAUUCUCCACGAAGCAAAACGAAGGCGGCACGACCCCUCGUCGGAUUGGGAGCAGGACGCAGAGGGGCGACAAAUCCUCGCCGGAUCUGGAGGUGGGCGAUUUAGCGGACCAAAUCCGAGGCGGAGCAGCAACGCAUGACGGCGAACGAAGCUACGGCACGGCUGGCGGAGCUUGCGGGCCGACCAUGACAGCGAGCGAAGCAGGGGACAUGGCGGCGACAGGCGAUGAACUUGGUGCUGGCAGGGAGCUUGGGGCGGAGGCGACCUCGAGGCCGGCAACGGAGUAGUCUGCGGGGCUGCGUCGACCGGCGAGCGCGCUGCUGCGACAGCGGGCACGGCGGCGAGGCCUGGGCGUGAUGAGGGCGGCUGUUGUAGAUGCGUGGGGACGAGGAGCAUCUCCUCGACGCAGAGGAGGCACAUGCGACUGCGGGUGCGGCUAUGUGUUGCGGGUGUGACGAGGCUCUCGGGCCCUGGCUGCUCGAGAGAAGAUGGGCGCUUGCGCGGCUGCGGUUGGCUGGGCUGGAUCGGGCAGGGGCGGCACUGGUUGGGCAGAUGGGAUCUAGGAGGAUCCCGAGGAGGGACAAAGGGGGCGGCGGCGCUGCGGGGUUAGGGUAGGCUAGGUCUAGGGUUAGGUCAAGGUUUGUCGAAAAUGGACUAGAGGCACACUAUAUAUAGCACGAUGGUUAGUUUUAGGGGCAUGUGGACCCUCUGAUUUAGAUCGGGUGGUCGAGAUAAUUAGGUUAGGAAGUCCACUCAAGAAACCGAUGACGCUUUGCAGUAAAACGGGGUUGAUCUAAACCCAACGGUCAAGACUGUCUGAUUCGUUCUGGGGGAAGUCUCGGGCUAGGUUGCGCGUAGGGUCGGUGCACUGUGCGAAGGGGCUAGGCAUAGAAGAGCGAAGGGGCUAGGCAUAGAAGAGAGGGAAAACGUACACCCGGCAUGAGGUUUUUAAAACACCAAAACGUCCAACAUUUGACCGGCUAUAGUGUCGCUAUAGGUUUAACGGUUCGGAUUCGAACGAACUCCGAUUGCGAUGAAACUUGGCAGGCGGUCUACCUAUAACUAAAUAAGAUCACACGCCAACUUUCAACCCAUUCAGAAAAUGUUUUAUACACACUUUUAAAAAUAAUAUUUAAAUGAUGUCGCGGGCGCGUGUGUGUGGUUGGUCUCAAAACGGUCAACGACAAAAGGAGAGAACCGACAACUACUAAUGGAUGCAAGUUUUGAAAACUGGCGACAACGAAGUGCCGAUGCAAUGCAGAUGAUGCGCAUGAUGCGAUGAUGAAUGCGACAAAUAAAAUAAUCACACUGUGGCAACCGAAUAAAAGGAGAAUCUUUUGGAGCGUCGGUCUCGGGCUGUUACAGUUACCUUCAGGUGAACUUACACCGGUGUGAUAUUAACCUUCUUUAUUGGGGACUGGUUAUCUUCCUAUGCAAUCACAUUCGUUCUGCGUACUUGACAAUCUGCAAGUUUCUCAUCCGUCUUAUUCAAGUCUUGGUACGCCAGCGCUUCUAGGCGCCUACACUAUACCACAUGCUUCGGUAUGCAGAUUCCAUGCGAAACUCUCGUGGUCAAACUGGUGAUUUUAGGAAAUCGAUAUGUGUCAACAGAUUGAUCUCUCGACGUCUUCAUCCAUCUCCAAUGAUCGACAUGUGUUUGUGUGUGGGCCUACCCAUCGCUAUCCACAGCUAGCCUUAUCUCUUCAUUCGAUGAAGCUAGUCCACACUUUCUCUCUGCCAAGUCUUUCUUUCCUCUGUUCUUCGUCCGCCUUCUCUCCUUUGCUCCUCAUGUCUCCACCAUCGCUCGUCGGUGCUAUCAAAAAACACCACCGAUGUUGCCCCCGUGCGCGGGGAUGGUGGUGCCGCCGUUGUCUCUGCUGUAAAAUCCGCUUUCUUGCAAACUCGAGGGGCGGGGCAAAAUCGAUGGUGCAUCCAUCCUGCGGCGAGUAGCGGUCGGGUACUCGCUGGCGAUAGUUCUUCAAAGCAACACAAGAUGGGUGAGGGAGUCACAUGUUGCGAUGGUCAUAGUGCUGGAAGCAUUGAAUUGUACGACAGCGAUGAGAUCUUGGCGCCAACAUCAUUGUUGCAUUCCCUCGCCACAUUAUCCUUCAUGGAGUCGUCGGUGCUACACCAGACUCCGACCAGACUUACAACGGCAACGAGGUCUCAAUGCCAACAUCAUUGUAGCAGUCCAGCUCGUUGACGAUGCCACAAUGCAACUACGGAGGGGAUUGUGUGCUUGGAAGGAUGACGAUGCCACAAUGCAACUACGGAGGGGGUUGUGUGCUUGGAAGGAUGACGAUGCCACAGUGCAACUACGGAGGGGGUUGUGUGCUUGGAAUGAUAUAAUGGUGCCGAUUCAUACGAUGGUUGGGCCACCGAUGUCCGAUGAAGCAUCGCCGUGGCACUAGUGUUGCGGUGAAGCAUCAUCAAAGCUGAUGGUGCUUCGUUGAAGCAUCGUCGGCACUGCAAUGUAGCAUGCACGUCACAACACUGGCGAUGCCUUGCAAUGUCCGUCAAAGCUCGCCGGAGCUGUGAUGUGCCGCUCGUCAGUGCUGCUAUGCAGCAGCGUGCAUGCCGUUGUAGAGAGGCUGCUCGGUGCUGCGUUGGAGGCAGGAGUGGCGGCAGUGCUGCACUGCAUCAAUGGUGAGGGCUGUGCUGCUACACUGCAUCAAUGAUGGCUGAUGAUGCUGCAAAGUAGCAUCCAUGGCGUCUCCGACAACACGAGACGGUGGCUAGCAUCGCUGCUGUACAGCUGGGCAUUUCUUGGCGUAGAUGGAAGAAAAAAGGAAGAGAGACGCGCUGCACACCUGUUGGAUCGAACGACUAUAUGGACUUGAAUUGGACGGCUGAGCAAGCGGUUGAUCUUUCCUCAAGAUCAAUCGGCUGAUUUCUAGCAGCCCGGUGGUUUUUAGUUCUGGUGAAAAUGAACAAAACUUCUCUUUUCUAAAACUUUAACACAAAAUAAACCUAAUCUAAAAACUUUAACACAAACUGGACCGCACAAAAAAAGGGUCCCUUUUUGCACGACACCCCAGGCAAAAAGGGCAUUUUGUGAAAUAUUUUCUCUAUAUGCACCUGAAAAAUAUUAAGAAACUGUCAUUGAACAAUCUAAGAUAUUUAUUGAUAUGGAACAAAAGUUUAUAUAUAAAAACCCAGACGACUUGGACAUACUCCCCCCGACCCAAAAUGAAUGUCUCGUAUAAAGCUGAGACAAUUAUUUUGGGGCGAAGGGAAUACAAAGUAGGCCGCUGCUUCCAUACUUCGUCCAUGGAUGCUUCGGACACUCCAUUUGCUUGCUUGCAUAUUUGGACACUCCACUUGCUUGCUUGCAUAUUUGGACACGCCACUUGCUUGCUUGCAUAUUUGGACAAGGGAUGCUUCGAACGCCACUUGCAAAGAGAUUAACCCUAAACCAUCAGAACCAACGACAGCAUGUCUCUCCAAACAUAUAUGGGCUCCCAGUGCAAUCUGCAUUCUGCAAGAUGAAAGAAAAACAAGAACCAUGUGGUGACCCAUACCAUACAACCAAAUGCACAAAAGGGGGACAAUUAUAUGGUCCAGCAACGAUACAAGUUCCCAGUUAUAAAUGUUUAUGGUCCAUGUAUAAUAUCCUGAUGAACAAGCGCGGCAAACCGAAAACAAAGCAAAGCUAGUGCCAUCAAUGUUUCACAGAAUUUAUUCUUCCACCUCUGGACAUCUAAACACGAACGUCCGCCGGAUGCGUCUCCUCAGGCAGGCAAAGAUCGCUCCUAGUUAGUUCCCUCGGGCUUCU
rnacentral:lncRNA from 1 species